UACAGCCUCACUCUCGCGGUCGAAAACACCGGUUCAUCAGUUACAACUCCUAGACUCUGGUAAUCUUGUUCUUCGUGACAGAGAAGGUAAUGUCCCACUCUGGCAAAGCUUCAACUGCCCGACCGACGUGCUCCUCCCUGGACAGAACCUCACCAGGAACACACCACUUGUUUCCUCUCAGAGCAACGGCAACUUCUCUUCUCUGCUAUACAAGUAUACUUCGACAACGACAACGUCCUUCGUCUCUCUUCAAUGGACCUUUGUACUCAAGCGUAUACUGGCCAGACCCGACCCAUGUGAGUUGGGAAGUUGGAAGAACAACCUACAACGAUAGUAGAGUUGCAGUGCUCGAUUCCUUGGGGAAUUUCACUUCAUCCGACGAUCUGAAGUUCCUGACGUUGGAUUUUGGCAAGAAAACACAACGUAUGUUAAAGGUGGAUCAUGAUGGUAAUGUAAGGGUCUAUAGUAGAGAAAAAGAUGAAAAGUGGGUUGUAACAUGGCAAGGCUUAUCUGAGUCAUGUGCUGUUCAUGGGAUUUGUGGACGGAAUAGCGCUUGCAGGUACAGCCCGAGGGAGGGAAGGAGUUGCUCUUGCCUUCCUGGAUAUGUGUGGAAUAAUGACACUGAUUGGACUCAGGGAUGUGCGCCCAAAUUCGAGAGCUUCUGCAACCAGGGUUCUGAUGCUCAUGUCGAUUUCCUGCGUUUGCCUCACCAUGAUUUCUGGGGAUAUGAUGAGGACUAUACUUCAAACACUACCCUGGAGUCGUGCAAGAAAAUGUGCGCAGAUCUUUGCAAUUGUAAAGGCUUUCAAUACAAAUUCAACGGGGAAGGGAGCUUCGACUGUUUCCCCAAGAUACUACUGUUAAAUGGAUAUAAUUCGUUCUCAUUUAGUGGGAGCAUCUAUUUGAAACUACCAAAAGCUAAUCUCUCUUCUUAUCAAAUACCCACCAAAGGAUUCGACCCACUGCCUUGUCCCCUAAAAGCUCAAGAAGUUGACCUACAGAGGACUUAUCUGACGAGCCACCAGAAUUCGACACUUGAGAUCUUGCUCAUUUUUGCUACGGCGCUGGCUGGAGUGGAAAUUGUUGUAGUCUUCCUCACAUGGUCCUUUUUGAUCGGGACUGAUCCUGACAAACGCGGAGGUUAUGCAAAGGGAUAUCGUCUUGCGGGGACAGGAUUUACAAGGUUCACAUAUGCCGAGCUAAAGAAAGCGACCAGGAACUUUAACAAAGAGAUUGGAAGAGGAAGUGGGGGGAUUGUGUACAAGGGUGUCCUGCCAGAUCAUGGGGAAGCAGCGGUCAAGCUGCUAAACGAGGCGAAUCAAGGAGAAGAAGAGUUCCUGGCUGAAGUGAGAACAAUUGGGAAUCUCAAUCACAUGAACCUGAUUGCGAUGUGGGGUUACUGUGUGGAGGGAAGGCACAGGCUCUUGGUUUAUGAGUUCAUGAAUCACGGUUCCUUGGCAGAAAACCUUUCUUCCGAUCAACUCGACUGGAAGAAGAGGUAUGAGAUCGCGGUGGGAUCAGCCAAGGGGCUUGCUUAUCUUCACGAGGAGUGCUUGGAAUGGGUUCUCCAUUGCGACGUGAAGCCACAUAACAUACUCCUCGAUUCCGAUUACCAACCAAAGGUGGCUGAUUUUGGGCUGUCUAAGCUACUUAACAGAGAGGGCCUUAAGAAUACAAGUUUCUCAAGAAUCAGAGGAACGAGGGGUUACAUGGCUCCUGAAUGGGUUUACAAUAUGCCAAUCACCUCCAAAGUGGAUGUGUACAGCUAUGGAAUCGUUCUAUUGGAGAUGCUGACAGGAGGGAACCCAGUCGCAGGCCAUGCCAUCCGCGGAGAAAUAAAAGGCGACAACAAAACAUUCACUUCCUGGGUGAGAGAGAAGAUGAAACCAGGGUUGCCCAUGGAGACAUGGAUAAGGGAAAUUGUGGAUCCGACCGUAAAGGGACCUUACGACAUCAAGAAGAUGGAAGUUUUGGUUGCGGUGGCGCUUCAGUGUGUGGAGGAGGACCGAGAUGCGAGACCGACCAUGAGCCAGGUGGUUGAGAUGCUUUUGCGCCAUGAAAGUGAGGAUCUGUAAUCGAAUACAAGCAUAAUUGCUCAUGUUCUAGCUCUAAAUAAGUGGACAAUUACAAAGGCAAUAGUCUUUGGAUGUACAAACCUAGGAAAGAUAAUUUAGUAAGUGUUUAGGAACAAGUCAUUGUCUAUCUCUAUUUUAUCAUAUUGGAAAUCUAGAAAACAUUAUUUAACAGGAUAGUUCCCUAUAAAAAAGAUCAUUCAACAACGAGGAUGCAAUAGCUCUCUUGUUACUAUUUGUCUUUGGUGCGUCUGAUCCAGUCUUGUGAAUACACGGUUGAUUUGGCAUGGUUUAGAUCGGUAAAUAUAAAGGUACCAUAAGCGCACAAAAUAGUACGCUUCUUCUUAAUAACAAAUUAUUGACUAGAUAAAAUAGAUACAAUUUGUAAUAUUUUUUUUUUUGGUCGGAAUUUGUAAUUUUUGUUGACCCUCGAAUUUUUGUCAACGUUUAAAAUAUUAAUUUAUUUUGCAAAAAUAUAAAAAAAUAUAUAAAAAAGGUAAAAAGCAAAUAUAUAUAUAUAUAUAUAUAUAUAAUCGAAAAAAAAAAUGAAUGUAAUAAAAUGAAAAGUCGGGUCCAGUAGGCCCGCAUGUUCAACCCAUCCUUUCAAUGAAUUUUCGGCCCUUUCAAAAGUAAAGCCCAUCUUCCCAUUCAUUUCUUCCUUUCGGCCCACUUUUUCCCUCUAUCCGUUGAGCCCAUCUCUUUUAAUGUUUUCAUGGUCCAUUACAGUUUAAAAUAACAAAGAGAGACAAGAGCCCAGCCCAAUGUGAUUUCUUCCUCUUUGCUUACAUGAGCCAACGCCGUGAAGAGGAAAAGAAAAAGAGGCGCGGAUGAGGAGGGGACGGCAACGAGCAAAGCGCGAACGCGGGCCCGUGAGCGAGGGAGGAACAACAAGCUGUGAUGCAAGCAAAGCCAAGCCUUUUAGAAGGCUGAGCUGGCGUGAGGGAUGAGGAGAGGCCUAACCGAAAAAGAUUCGGAGAGAGGUGCGGGGAGCAUGCGUGAGGGACAUCCUGUUUUUUCUUCAUGCCGUUUGGGAAUUAAGAACAGAAAUUUCAAUCUAUAAGAUUAUGGUCUAAUCUUGUGAAGCCAGAGAUAUAUUUGUGAGGGACGAUAUAAUUUGGACUCUUAUAUAUCAUUUUUAGACAGAAAAUCAUAUCAAAGUCGGAUCGGAGGCUUGUUCUUGUACAGCACGUCACCUAUUUGAUAAAAUGCCCGAAUGAUAUACUGAAAUCCAUGCUAUCCGAUCGGCGUUAGAAGUUUAGUUUGAUGUUUCAUUGUUCUUAUAUUGUUGAAGGACGUCUCACUUUCGUGUUUUUUUAUGUGACGUGGAAACUAAUCUGUCGUGUCAUCGAGUCGGCCAUGGAUGAAUACCUCGCUGGAGAUGCUGUUCCUUCAGCAUAUCUCUCUAUUUUAAUGUGCUUGUGUUUGUUUGUUUGCCGAGAAUGCUGGUGUAAGAGGUUUAUGUAUGGUGAGAUGUUUAUUUUUUAUGUUUUAAUGGUCGCCGGAAUGGCCGAUCGGAAGUGAUGAACGCCGGUCGGUCGUGUUGGCCGGCGAUGAUUAGGACGGGGACCGGCGGCCAGAUGGCGGUGGUGUCGAGUGUUUCCCGGCGGCGGAGACGUAGGGGGAGUUCGGCCCCAUUAAAGGAGGAGCCAGUAAGUAAGUUGAAGACGAUGCCGGAUCGAAGAAGAUGGGCAGAAAAAGACAAAAUAGGGAAAAAAAAAAAAAAAAAGGAGAAAAGGAAAGCAGGAAAAAAGGGACCGUAGAAAAAUAAAAGGGCCAGGGGGUAUUCUGUUGUGGGCUGGGCUCAUUUCAAAAUGUGGGCGGAAAAAGAGUUAGAAGGAAAAAAGUUCAUGGCUUUUGUAAUUAAUUCUGAGCUGGCUUUCAGCGUUAAUAUUUUUAGCCCAACCCAAUCCAAUAGGGUUCGGGUUGGUUUACAUGGGUCGGGUCUCUUGACCCGGUCCGAAUCCCUUAUAUUAACAAUAAAUAAUUAAUUAUUAAAAUUUUUACAAAUUCAAAAAAAUUAAAUUUAAAUUUAAAAAAUUCGAAAAUGAAAAAUAUCAUCAUUAAAGAUUCAGAAAAUGAUAAAAAAAAAUUAAAAGCUUUAGGAAAUAAUAAAAAAUUUAGAAAUUUUGAAAAUCAAUCAAAAAAAUUAGAAAUUUUAGAAAAUAUUAAAAAUUUGAACAUUCAAAAAUGAUAAUUUAUUAUAAUAAAAAAUUAAGAGGAUCCUUUGGAACUAAAACCUAGAAUUGGAUAAGCCUUUAGGGUUUUAUAAUAGGGAUUCUUGUUUUGCUUUAUCUUGUUUUCUUUUUAAGGGACAAUUUAGGAUGCUUGCAUAUUCUCUAUUAUGAUUAUAAUUGACUGCACUUUUCAAUAUUCGGAUGCUAUUCCCUUGUUUUAGAAUGGUUAAAAUAAACCUUAUAAUUUUCUUGAUAGGUUGCCACAGCAUUAAUAAGCACAUGAUUAGGUUAGGAAUCGAAAGGGUGUUAACCUUAGGGCUAACAUAAUCAAGUACCCGAAUCCAAAAUCUCUAGUUACGUAAAUAGUAAGAUAUCAUCCCGUAUCUUAAUAGGUUUCUGAUCAAGCCAAAAAAGGCUAGUGGCGAUUCCUUAGUCAAAAUUUGCAUAAGCUUAAUUGAUUAAAAAUUUGAAUGCUCGAUAUUGCAUGAGGCAUAGGUUUGAGAAAGCUUGAGUCAAUGGAAGGCCAUUAGCCUGAAGUUGACAAUACCCCUAAAUACAACAAACUCCCUCCCCCACGAGAGGGGUUACAUUGCAACAAUUUCCUUUUUAGACAUUGUUUUUUCAACAUAAAUAUCUCCACACACUUCUUCAUUCUUUUUCAACCGUGCUUUGCUAUGAGCUAGUCUACUACCUAAACCAAAGUGGUUCACUUGGGUUACAGAAUUUGCCAUCUAAAAAUAGUUCAAACCCGUUGAUACCAAAAGUUGAUUUGGUUAUCGAUAAGCUUGUGCUUAGCACGAGAAUGAGAAAUAUGUGGCAUAUGAGUAGGGAUACGUAGCAGCCACAUGCAUAAUGCAUGAGCGUCACCUUAUACAGCCGUCAACAAAUACAAGAGCUAACACACAGUGAUUAACGACGAUUUCUUUAAUAUUAUGUGUCUAGUUGUCGAAAUAUGAUAACGAACAGUUGGUGGCUGCCUAUAUGAGCGCUAGUAGCAAAUUUUCAUUGGAAGUAUUUCAAAUACUAUUCAAAUUACCAAGACGGUGGGCAUCGAGAAUGCACGUUGCGGAGGGAGCUGUUGCCAUUCACACACCCUAUCAUGGAACGAUCGUUGAUGACUACAAAACCAUCAACGCACAAUGAGGACUAUUAUACAAAACACGGGCAAGUGAAGCUUGCGGGAAUGAAGGAGUAUGGGCGAGGCCAAUGGAAGUUACUUAGAAAAACAAUAUCUAAGCAUAGUCGAGGAGCAAUUACUACACCUUUGCUAUAAGUGCCACCAACUAUCCAACAAGAAACCCUUGGCAUGAAUCAAACAAAAUAUUAUCUUUCAAUUAUCUUUACUUUCCUACAUUGUACUUUAAAUUUCCUUAGCUAUAGUUUCAUAUUCACAUCGUCGAUUAGAUUCUAACAUGCAUUUUUAUCCGAUACCUUGUCAUUGAUUGAAUUCUAGCAUUGUAUCUAAAUAUCCUUGAUUUAUGUUAUCGAUUGAAUUCUGGCAUAAUUCAAGAUUGAUCUUGUAACUUUUGGGCCUUGUCAUUGAUUCAAUACCUUGUUGUUUUGAAUAUGUGUCGAAAUUUGAGAUGUCUAUUAUUAGAAAUUGGACUAUAUUUUCUUCCAUUUUCUCUAGUCAUGCCUUUCCUUUUAGGCUAUAAAUAUGAACGUUGCCCAUUUUAAUUGUUAGUUAAUUUUCACGUUAUUGAUGUCCAUAUUUAUACCCAAUGAAAAAUAGAAAAAUUAUGUAGUCUUUAUAUAUUUAUACUUUAAUCUAUUUAAUGCAAGGAUUUUGGGAGAUCCACGGAGAAAAUUGCUGAUUCUGGCACAAACAUUGUGAAUUAAUUGUUUAGUAUGCUGAAGUGGAUGCUUAGUGGAAAAAAAAAAUAGAAAUGUCAAAAAUUUUGUAGGCAAUUCAAUUUAGUGUUAUAACUUUUAGGUCACUCAUUUAAAUUCCUCAACUUUCAAAAUGUCAUCACAUAAUUUACACUAACGUCUUUGAUGGCUGAAAAAGGUGAUGUGGCAUUAUUUUUUAUGAUAAGCCUGCUCCUCCAUGGCUCUUCUACAUAAUUAACAAUAUAAUGUGGCAAAUGGGUGUGGAAAUUGUAAUAUUUGAUUGAGAAGGGUAGGGCCUGGGAAAAAAAAAAAGAUAGAUAAAAAGUUGAAAAGUCAAAAAAAAAGAAAGGAAAAGGAUGUUCAACUCCUUUGGAGAAUAAGAGCUUACCUAGAAAAAAUGAGAGAGAAAAGAUAAAAAUAGAAAUAAAAAGAAAAGAGAGGAAGGGAAAGAAGAAGGAAAAAAGGGGGAAAAGGUAAAGAAGGAAUUUACGAAUACAUGCCAAGGUGGGCUCAUCUAACCGAAUUUAUUUCGAUUUGGAACGGCCAAUAAGGAUUUAAGCCAUUCGUUCGUUUAAUCAUAAUAGUUUUCAAAAUUAUGGCACAAUCUCAAAGUUAUGUAUUUGAAUUGCAAGGCCUAAAUUUUGAAUUGUUCAUCUAAGAAAUUUCAUAGGAAUCGUGGAUUAUGUGAAUAUGAGAUGCAAAGUAAUGGGGAGUGGUAAGAAAAUGAGUCAUCUUUGUUCAUGCACUGUAUGUUUGCCAUAAUAGGCUUCAACUUUGGGAGGAAUUACGUGAGAUAAGUUCUAUAAAUAUGUUACCUUCGGUGUGUUUAAGGGAUUUAACGAAGUAUUAUUCCAUUAAGAGAAAGCAAGGAAGUGCAUGGCUGAGAAUUAAAAAAUAAUAGCUUUUCGGAAUUUUCUAGAUUCUUGUUUUUUUAUGGACAUACACGGCAAGGGAUGUGCCUUUACUUAAUGGAAUAAUAAGGAAGGGGACAAUCACAUUAAAGAAUGUCUUGAUAGGGUGGUGUUCACCAUUGAAUGGAAAUUAUUAUUCCCUGAAGCAAAAGCAUUUGCACUUCCAGCCACUGGGUCAAACCAUAGUCCUAUCCUUUUAUCUUUCAAGCUUGAACCUGUUAAAUGGAGAAAAGGGUUCAAGUUCAAAGCCUUUUGGCUUGAGAAUGAUGAAUGUAGAACAAUUGUUAAAGAGACUUGGAACUGUACUUACUAAGUAGGGAUAAAGGUAGUUGCGAAGUUACGUGCAGUGGUAUUGCCUUAUCCAAAUGGAGUAAAAAAACUUGUAGGAAUGGACAUAAAAGAAUAGACUCAUUGAAGCAGGAACUUCAACAAUGGAUAAACAAUAAUGGAGGAUAUUCCGAAAUGGAAAGAGUCAAGCACUUACAAAGGGAAAUUGAGGCAUUAUGGAGGUAGGAAGAUAUGUAUUGGGGCUGAGAAUAAGAAUUAAUUGGCUGAAAUGUGUGACAAAACCACGAAAUUCUUUCAUGCCACCAUUGUUUAACAACAUCAAAGAAUUUCCAUGUCGCAAAUAUCAUAAGGAAUAUGGGUUGAAGAACCAAGCCUUCUUAAGGAAACUACACUACAAUUUUUCUUAGAACUAUAUCAAUCUAUUGGACCCCAAAUGUUCUUUCCUGUUUUAGAUCAAUGCUCUCGAGUGGUGACAGAAUAAUUGAAUCAAUUGAUGUAGAUGCUUUGGAAGAAUUAAAAUGUGUAGUUUUUUGACUUCGUGCAUCUAAAGCACCAAGGUCAGAUGGCCUUAGUGAAUAGUUUUACUAAGCUGGGCAGAAAUCUAGAGUGAGGUCUUCGAAGCAGUAAAGGUAAUAGGACCCAUAUUUCACUUAUCCCAAAAGUCCCUAAUCUCGAGAGGUCAAACCAAUGACGGUGAAUAGGCUUAAUUCGUUGUUGCUAGAUCUAAUGCUACAAAGCAGAGUGCAUUCGUUGGGGAACGCAAAUUUAAGAUAAUAUAUUCAUUGUAUAAGAGAUGCUACAUCAAAUUAGAAUUUGCAAAAGAAAAAGAAAUUCCAAGCAAUUCUAAAACUUGGAGGUGUAGACUUUUAGAGUGCCAAAACUUAACAUGGGGAGACACUUUAGUGCCAAAAAUUUCAAAAGGCACACUUAAAUUACCAAAAUCGGAGGAAAAAUAGAACACCCAAGUGCCAACAACGAGAAAUUAUGGUCAAACUACUAACAUGGCAUUUCUUCGGUGAGAUAAGUACAAAACAACAUCGUUUUUUGCAUUGACCUGGCUAGAUAGGUGCAAAAUGAUGUUUUUUACGUUGACAUGGCCCCAAAAUUGAAUUUUAAUAUAAAUAUUAAUUAAAAUAUUUUUAUAAAGGGAGAGUAGGUUCGACGAGGGCUAUGCAAGCCCUUGCCAAAGCUUGCUGUAGAUCCCAUUUUUUUAAUAAAUAUAUAUUUUAUUUUAAUUAAUAUUUAUAUUAAUAUUCAAUUUUGGGGCAAAAUGAAGUCAUUUUUGUCAAGUCAUUGUUGAGUUGGCUUCCGGCGAGUCACGUAGACCACAUAUAUUAUUAAACAAAUGCCAUGUCAAAUUUCUAGCUACUCUCGCAGGACUUGGCACCGAUGUGUCCCACUUUUCAAAAAUAGUGACACUUAAGUAUAUCUUUUAAAACAUUCUGCGCUAAAGUGUCCACGUGUGCCAAGUUCUCGCACUCCUGGUGUACUUUAUCCUGGAAACUUGAUAUGAAAAAGGCAUGCAAGCAAGUGGAGUGGUACUUCUUUAAGGCACAUUUAAUUAGAAUAGGUUUUGAUGAAAAAUGGGUGGAUAAUGCAAUGCCUCACAACUAUCUCAUUCGGUGUCAAGUUUAAUGGAGAGCCACUUCAAUAUUUUAAGCCAACAUGAGGGAUUAGUUAAGGGAACCCAUUAUCCCCCUACUUAUUUAUUCUGGUGGCUAAUGUAUUAUCCUCACUAUUGAAGAUUGCAGUUGAUAAUGGUAGCAUAGGGAUUAUACUUAACAAUGGAGUCCUACCCUUUCUCAUAUACUCUUCGCGGAUGGCUUCAUCAUCUUGUUAGAAAGGAAAUUCUGGAACGUCAGAAUUUGGCAACAAUUUUAAAUCAAUACUAUGUACCAUUUGGGAAAGAGGUAAAUUUGAACAAGUGUGGGAUUUAUUUCAAUAGGGACUACCCCAUAGCUUAAAAGAGAAUAUGACAAGGGUGCUAAGACUACCUAUAAUGGAUAAAACAAGGAAAUACCUCGGGACUCCUUCGGAUUGGGUAGUAUCAAACAAAUAGAUGUUUGCUUGGAUUUUGAGACGGGUAAGCACAAAGUUAAAAGGAUGGAAUGAGAAAAUUAAUGUCAAAAGCAAGGAUUGGAAUCGAAAGCUAUAAACGGGGAGCUUAUGUAAAAGGAUGUCAUCGGAGCUUAUGUAAAAGGAUGUCAUCUUGCAGCGACAAGAUAUAGAAGAUUCACGUAUGUCGAGCUAGAAAGCGACCAAAACUUCCAUGAAGAGAUUAAAAGAGGAAGUAGGGGAUUGUUCAGGGGCCUUAUGCAAGAUCAUCGGGUAGCUACGAUCAAGUGGAUGUAUGUUGUACUUUAGUUGGUACGUCCAUGAUGAGGUGCGAUUGGAACGCACCGUUUCGUCUUGAUGCGUUACGAUGGAAAGACACUAAUGGACGGGUACGAAGGAAGACGUAUAAAAGCCUCCCAAACACAACCGUUGGAGGGGUUGGCAGAACAUACGAUCAAAAAAUUCUCUCAUUUGUUUGUUCCAUUUCCAUCAAAGGGAUAAGGCGUUCCAUUUCACUUUUGCAAGAACAAUUUGCAUAUACGCUGCGGAAAUUGGGUGUUUUCCUUGUGAUUGCAUCUAGACCGGCAUGAGAUAGUUUUUGUUCGUGAUUCAUCGACAAUUCAACGUUCAUUCCAGGGCUAAUUAAAGUUUGCGCAUCGGAAUCAGGUAAGUCGUCUUCCGCCGACUUGAAUUCCAACAUUGGUAUUAGAGCUCGGUCGUGGUUUCUACCUUGUUUUUCAUCGAAUUAUCCAGUUCACCAUUUGAUAUUGAGAUUAAGAGUAUGAUAUCUACAAUUGUUGGAUGUUUAUUAAUCGAAAUUGAUGUGAAUUGUCGAAAAAUCGAACCAAAGUGAAGAACGGGUUCGGGGUCGCGUGCAUCCGUGCAAUUUUCGCCAAUUUUUGAAAUAUUUUUUUUGGCCAAAAUCAACUUUUGAAUAUACAAGGUGAAAGUACUCGUCGAGAUGAGUCCGACGGUGGUUCGAGUGCACCCAGAGGAGGCUGGACGCGCCCACACGCGUGGCCAGAAGCUGUUGCGCGUGGGAUCCAUGCGCUGGACGUGCUAGGGACACCAGCGAACAGGCGCGUGACGUCAUGCGCUGACAUCGGCGAACUGACGUGUGAGCGUCACGCGCGCAUCGACGAAGCGACGCGUGCUAACGUCACUAAUGACGUCAUCCAAUGGUCGGUAACUGCUUGGAUGACGUCAUCGAUGACAUCAUAGCCGAAAAAGUUGGCCGGCCGGUCACCGGUCGGCGACUCGACCCAUGACCCGACCGUUGACCGGUCAACGGUCAAACCGGUCAAGUGGUCCAGUGGUCAAACCGGUCAGACCGGCUAGGAGCCGUUUGGCUCGCUGGCGCAUGCGCCACACGUGCCGCGCACUCAGGCGGCGCGUGGGGCCGUGUGCAGGCUCCGAUUGGAGUGUGGUCAGUGGCGUUUGGUUCGUAUGAACGUUUUCUACACAGUAGUAUAAUUAGUUUAUACUUUUGAAUUUUAUAAAUGUAUGAAAAUGCAUAGGAAACCCUAUGUACACGUAAUUUUUGGGGUUUAAUGCAUAAUUUAUUUAUUUGUAGCUUGUAUUUUCUUGUGGUUUAGUAAAUACAGUAGCUAGCUUGUGUGCAAAUGAUGUCAUAUAUGUUGUGUAGAGCUUGGUUCGAUAAUAUCGUGUAUAUAAUUUUAUAUACUUGUAAUUUUCUAGUUGCUAGAAGAUUCAAACAAUGAUAGGAAAUCCAUUGCAUGUUGAAUUGCGAUUUUGAUUAUAGUUGAAGUAUGAUUGUUGCUUAUAAAUUGGUUAUUAUCAUGCUAUGUUUUUUUGUUAUGGAAAAAUAUAGAAAUUACAUGAGAUCAUGUAAUUAUUUUUCCUAAUGGGAGUUCGUAGGUUGGUAGAAUUUGAAAGAGUUCUCACCUAGAACUUAAAAUUUGCGCAAAUUAAACUAAUUAAUGGUAAUAGAACAAUUGUACAUAGAAGUUGAUUUGGAACAUAGUGAACUUUUGCCUCUGUGUCUUUUGUUGAAUUAUCAUUAAUUUAGUUUGUCUUUGCUACAAAUUAAAUAUGUGCGUUACUCAAUAAAGUGUGCUAGUAUUGAUUCUGCGUUUAUUAUGUCAAUGUGAUAUAGCAAUUGAUUAUGGUUUCGGCAUCCAAGACCAAUGUGGCUGACCUCAAUAAAAGUGAGAAGCUGAACGGUGACAAUUAUGAUAUUUAGCAUCGAAAGGUUCAGUACAUCCUUGAGGAGCAAGAGAUUUUGGAAACCCUCAACCAUACUAUGGAUGAACCUGAGUAUGGAACUUCAGGUCAACACAGGAAAGAUCUAGAAGCUUAUCAAGUUUGGAAAAAGAAAAAUAACAUUGCUCGCAUCACGUUGCUGAGCUGUAUGCAAGAUGAUCUCAUGUGUAAGUUUGAAAGUUAUGAUAAAGCUCAAGUUAUGUGGGUUUUCUUGAAGGAUAAGUUUGGGGGUACAUCUACCACUAAGCUAAGGAGACUCACCAUCAAGUUUGACACAUUCCAAAAACGCCCAAAUAUAACGAUGAGGCAACAUUUUCGGCAGAUGUCAAACAUGAUUCGUGAGUUGAAGUCAAGAGGUCACUCCUUUACUGAUGAACAACAAGUUUAGACUGUUAUAAGGUCUCUUCUUGACAAUUGGGAGCAUAUGAACAUCAAUAUGACGCAUAAUGAGAAUAUUGUCACUUUUGAUGAUAUUGUGUGUCACUUAGAAUUAGAUGAUGAGCGCCUAGAGGCUGCAAGAUCCUCUACCCAUGCUUAUGUUGCUAAAUCGAGUUCGCGCAAAGUUUUGGGCUUCAAGCACAAGAGGAAUCUUCAGUUCAACAACAAAGGGAAGAAGACUGAUCAGGCACCCAAAAAGGCUAAGACCUUCCGACGCAAGAAGCAUGGUGGGAAGAAGGACAAGGCCAAGAUGGAGUGCUACAAUUGUGGCAAGAUGGGUCACUUUGCUCAUGAAUGCACUGAGCCAAAAAAGGUACCCUAUUACUCUAUUACUUUGAGUAAUGCUUUUGUUUCUAGUACUAUAAUGAUUGAUGAAUCUCAUCCAAUGUGGACUGUAGACUCAAGAGCAACAGACUCCGUAGCUAGAGACCGAGACGCAUUUGUGGAGUAUCGUUGGAUAUUGCUUGGAAGAAGAUGGAUAUAUGUUGGGAAUAACUCAAGAGUUGGAGUGAAGGGUAUCGGCACACGUAAAUUAAUCUUACGUGUUGGUCGAAACCUAUUUCUGCAUGAUAUCCUUUGUGCUCUAGAUAUUCGAUGAAACUUGGUCUCUGUAGUUGUUCUUCUUAGCUUAAGUUAUGUAUUGAAUUUCCAUGGUGAUUGUGUUGACAUUUUGUAUGGAACAGUUUAUUAUGGUUCAAGUCAUGUAUCAAAUGGUUUUAUGGUGUUAGACAUUGAUUAUGAUCAGUACAAUGUUAAUGUUGAUAGUUUUUUUUCUUUAAUUGCAUCUUUUAAUAACGUUGAGAUUGAUGCAAGUACUUGGCAUACUAGAUUAUGUCACAUUGGAUUGCAAAGAAUGCAAAGAUUAGCUAAAGAAUGCCUUUUAGGGUCACUCACUAAUGUUAGUCUAUCCGUAUGUGAACAUUGUCUAGCGGGAAAAUUAACUAGAAAACCAUUCAGUAAAGUAACUAGAGCUGAAUUUUCAAUUCCAACUCAUACAUUUUGACAUUUGUGGUCCUUUGAAUGUGAGGGUGAGGCAUGGAGCCUUAUAUUUCAUCACUUUCAUAGAUGACUUCACAUGUUUCGGUUAUGUCUUUCUGAUCUUCCAUAAGUCAGAAGCAUUAGACUACUUUAGACAAUAUAUAGCGAUGGUAGAGAAUCAGUUGAACAAAACAAUAUAGGUAUUGAGAAUCGAUCGUGGACGUGAGUAUCUAUCGGAGCAAUUCAAGGCUCUUUAUGAUGAAAAGGGAAUUGUACGACAAUUGACUAUUCCUGGUACUCCACAACAAAAUGGGGUAGCUGAGAUAAGGAAUAGAACCCUAUUGGAAAUGGUUAGAUCUAUGAUGGCGUAAGCAAAUUUACCUAUUUCCUAUUGGGGAGAUGCAUUAUUGACUGCUACCUUUAUACUUAAUUGAGUGCCCUCAAAAUCGAUCACUUUCACCCCUUAUGAAUUAUGGACUGGUAGGAAACCAGACUUGAGUAGUCUAAGUCCAUGGGGAAGUGCAGCUUAUGUUCAUGAUUCUUCCCAUAAAUAUGGCAAAUUAGGUCCCAGAGGGAAGAAAUGUAUCUUAUAGAUAUUCUAAACACUCCAAAGGGUACGUGUUUAUAGGUGAACAAGCUAAUGGAAGUGUGACCGAAAUGGAGUCACAAGAUGUCACGUUCUUGGAGAAUGAUUUUCCUAGUAGAGGUGAGAUUGAUAAGGACUUUCAAUUAUAUUAAAUGGAAGAUUCUAAUAACACAUCCACUGAUGUUGUAGAGGGAAAUGAAAAUUUACCUCAACAUGCAAGACCUAGUGGGAGUGUUGCAUCGCCUAACGAAUUGAAUUCAAGAGAAAUUCAAUUGCGUAAAAGUAAUCGUAAAAGUAUUCCUUGUCGUCAUUUUGAGGUUGAAGGGGAAGCAUUUAUGAUUGCUUAGAAUGACGAUGCUGAGCCUAAGACUGUUCAAGAGGCUCUCUCAUCCUCUAAUAAGGAAAAAUGGAGAAAAAAUUUGGAAGAUAAGAUGGAGUUAAUGAGGGCAAACCAUGUCUGGGACUUGGUUGAUCUACCACUCAAUCAUAAGGCCAUUGGAAACAAAUGGGUCUUCAAGAUUAAGCGAAGGGCAGAUGGAUCCAUUGAAAAGUAUAAGGCUCGCCUUGUGGCGAAAGGUUAUACUCAACAAGAGGGUAUAGAUUAUGAGGAAACCUUUUCACCAGUUGUAAGUUUUGCCUCAAUACGCCUUAUUCUAGCUAUCGUUGCACAUUUGGACCUUAAAUUACAUCAGAUGGAUGUACAGACGGUAUUUCUUAAUGGAGAACUAGAUGAGGAAAUCUAUAUGAAACAACCAGUAGGUUUCAUAGCUAAAAGGUCAAGAGUAUAAAAUUUGCAAGCUUCAUCGCUCAAUAUAUGGCCUUAAGCAAUCAUCUAGACAGUGGUAUAUUCAUUUUCAUCGAGCCAUAACCACUUUUGGUUUCACGAUGAAUGAGGAAGAUCACUGUGUAUAUGUCAAGCGGUCCGAAGAUAAAUUUGUGAUUUUAUCACUUUAUAUGGACGAUAUUCUAUUGGCUUUUUAGGUUUUGGUUAUCACCAUAAAAGAAUGGUUGUCAUCUAAUUUUGAAAUGAAUAACAUGGGAGAAGCUGCUUAUAUAUUAAGAGUUAAGAUCGAAAAAGAUCGAUCAAGGAAACUCCUUACUUUAUCACAAGAGUCUUAUAUUAUGAAGAUUCUUGAGCAUUUCAAUAUGUAGCAUUGUAAUCCCAUUGAUACCAUUGUCAUGCAAGGUGAAGGCCUAAGUACUGAGAUGUGUCCUAAGACUUCAGAAGAAAUUAAAGCAAUGAAAUUGUUCCUUAAGCUAGAGCGGUCAGAAGUUUGAUGUAUGCUAUGAUGUGUACUAGACUGGACAUAUGCUAUGCCGUGGGACUGGUGAGCCAAUAUCAAUCAAAUCUUAGUUAAGAAAACUGGAAAGCAGUGAAGAGGAUCCUGAGAUACUUGAAGGGCACUAUGGACUAUUGACUUUGUUACCAAGGGAAUGAUUUACGCCUAUUGGGUUAUUCAUAUGCCGAUUGAGGUGGAGACCUGGAUGAGCGUAAAUCGACUUCUGGAUAUGCAUUCUUGUUCAAUGGAAAUGCGAUUUCUUGAAAUAGCAAGAAACAGACAUGCACGGCCUUAUCUACGAUGGAGGUAGAAUUUAUUGCAUGCUCUGCUGCAGUGCAAGAAGCAGUAUGGCUAAAACGUUUCUUAGAAAAUUUAACCACUGUCACUGAGGUUCCAAGACCGGUGACAGUUUAUUGCGAUAGUCAAGCUGCUCUUGUCUAUGUGAAGGAUCCCAAGUAUCAUGGAAGGACAAAGCACAUUGACAUAAAGAACAACUUCAUAAGAGAUAUGAUAGCGCAAAAAGAAGUGAUCCUACAAUAUAUUUCAACCAAUAGAAUGGUUGUUGAUUCAUUUACGAAGGCUAUUCCUAGAGACAUAUUCUUGACCCAUAGGAUGUCACUAGGAUUGUGUAGAAUGUGAUAUCUGUUAUUGUAGAGGAUCGUUGAUUUAUGUAUUUGUGGACAUAUGUAUUGUACUUGUUUAUUUAUUAGUGAUUUGAUGUUUUAUCAAUAAGUACAAAUCCACUAUGAGACUAGCACAAACACACAUAUAUUAUUGAAAAGUAUGUCAGCAGGCAAUGAUUGGCUCACUCACACGAGCAAUCGCCUCAAGUGCUUUAGAUAGCACAUUGAGAUGAGAUGUUAUGUACAAAUAAAUGCUGAAGAGCAAGUCUGGUACAUAAAAUAUGUCGCCUUGAUUGGAAUCAAGAGGAGGUCUGUGAUUUGUUUAUAAUAAGACCGAACAUGAUUGUCCCACAAUCAUGUAUGCCUGAAAGAUGCCGGAUGCGAGUAUUUAAUUGGGUGCUAUAGAAAGCGAGCUGAUAUAGCACUUGAGCUAAAUAUAAGUACAUGAGAAGCACGUGACUAUGUUUACACUAAGAUAUGUAUAAUGGAUAUAUUUGAUAAAUGACAUACGCUCUUAUAGAAAGAGAAAUCCACUAUAGCAUGUAAUUCAUACUACAUGUGCAUUAUACGAUCAAUAAGGGAAGAUGAGUAAAAUUAUCCCUAUUUACUCAUCGUGUGAGCCCUUGAGGUAAUUUAUAAUUUACCUCAAUUUUGUGCCCUAUGUUAGUUCUGACUAUGUUCUCGAAGUGAAAGAUCCAUGUUGCUACUUUAGCAUGUUACGGGCGGUCAUGAAUAGAUAUGGCCUUAUGGGAUGUGUCUAGGAAAGCAGUUGUUCUGAAAUGGAGAGAGACAUGAGUGUGCGAAGGAACACUAUUGUUGUUUUACAUCUAUCACAUGUAUUUAAUGGUCGACCAAUUAUAUCGCCAUAUGUGGUUGCGGAUAUACUUGUAAAUACAUGAUGUGUUUUUUAGAAUAGUCAAGUAUAGCCUUUAAGGGAUAUAUAUAAUUGAACUGAUGUAACAAAAUAUGUCUGGGGCACUGUGAGACAUCGAUUGUUUAUUUAUUUUCGGGGUUGUAGCCAUUAUGUCAUCCCUAAUAGGUGCAUAAUUUGAGCUCAUAAGUACAGGUGUACUCACUGGUUGCACGGCUUAUUUGCCAGUAUGAAUUGUUUUGUAAAGUUGAUGAAUGUUGAAUGCCUUAUAUUCUUGAUAGAGCACUAUCAAGCCCACCAUGUCCGAGUGGGAGAUGUUGUAUUUUAGCUAAUACAUCCAUGAUGAGGUGCGAUUGGAACGCACCGUUUCGUCUUGAUGCGGAGCGUUGGAAAGACACUAAUGGAGGGGUACAAAGGGAGACGUAUAAAAGCCUCCCGAACACAACCGUUGGAGGGGUUGGCAGAACAUACGAUCAAAAAAUCCUCUCAUUUGUUUGUUCCAUUUCCAUCAAAGGUAUAAGGCAUUCCAUUUCACUUUUGCAAGAACAAUUUGCAUUUACGUCGUGGAAAUCGGGUGUUUUCCUUGUGAUCGCAUCCAGACCAAUGUGAGAUAGUUUUUGUUCAUGAUUCAUCAACAAUUCAACGUUCGUUCCAAGGCUAAUUAAAGUUUGCGCAUCGGAAUCAGGUAAGUCGUCUUCCGCCGACUUGAAUACCAACAAUGUACGAUGUUAACCAAGGAGAAGAGGCCUUUUAGGCUGAAGUGAGAACUAUUGAGAAUCUAAAUCACAUGAACCUUGAUCAAGAUGUGGGGGUACUGUGCAGAGGGCGAGCACAGGCUCUUGGUUUAUGAGUUCAUGGAUCACGGUUUUUUGUCUAAAAAUCUUUCUUCCCCUCAACUCGACUGGAUCAAAAGGUUUGAGAUCAUCGUAGGAGUAGCCAAAGGGCUUGCUUAUCUUCAUGAAGAGUGUUUAGAAUGGGUUCUCCAUUGCGAUGUGAAGCCACAAAUAUACUUAUUGAUUAAAAGUUGGCGGAUUUUGUGCACUCUAAGGCCAUGUUCGGUAACCAACCAAACAGUAACUAUUUAUGUUCUUUUGUUCCUCCAAACAUAAAAAGAACAAAAAGCCAUUGUUCCUAGGAAUAGAUUUGGAACAGAAUUAAAAAGUAAAAAAAAAAAGCUACUUCUUUGUUCAGUAACUACUUCUCCUUCUUCUUCUUCUUCUUCUUCUUCAAUUGGUCACGUUAUCGGUCCUCAAUGAGGUUAAGCCUAGUCGAGCCAAGCCUCCCCAUGUCUAGGCGAGCUCGGCCUCACUAGAUCUGGACAAGGUCGACCUCGUCAGAGGCCCAUGACACUCCAAUAAGGUCAUCGGCCAAGGUUGAGGUCGGCAAUUGAGAAGAAAGUAGAAAAAGAAGAAAAGGAAAAAAGAAAAGAGAAACUUUGUAAUAAAAUUAUUACAAAAUUAAAAGAAAUUAUAAGUUGCAAAAGAAUUUGUGAGUCAUAUGAAACACAUUUCUAUACCAAGAAUAGAAAUUUUGGACAGUUGUCAAGUGCCUUCAAAUGUUCAUAAAUUUAUCCAAGAAAUAGAAUCAGAAAAAAUCAUUUAACAGAAAUUAUUUUCGAGAACAAAAGGAUUACCAAAUACACCCUAAGCUUCUUAAUAAAAAUGGCCCUAAGAAUAUUAAUUUCUCUCUUACUUUUCUGAUUGUUUAGGACAUAUUUAGUUGAAUAAAUGAAAUAGAUUGUGAUCAAAGCCGAAAAGCCUUUUCUCUCUCUCUCUCUCUCUCUCUCUCCUCUCUUUUCUUUCUAUUGUCUUCUUCAUCCUUAAGCCACGGGGGAGGGUUUGAGCUAGUCUCAUCUUCCCCUUCCUUAUUUGUUGAUUCUUUUUUUGCAUUUUAUUGUUAUAAUCUUUCUUUUUAUUCCCUGCUGAUUUUAGAUCUAGUCUAGUUCUCAAUUUUAAAGUUUAAACUCCCCUGAUCUAAUUUUAGAUUUGGGUGCUACCUUCUCCCGUUCUAGAUCUAAGAGUUUAAUAAACAUGCUUUCGGGGAUUUGAUCCCCUUCUACUCUGGUCGUGUACAAAUUCCACACCUUCAGCUUCAAUGAUGAUCAUUUUAGUAUCUUGUUAAAUUAUGAAAAUUUGCUCAUCUAUAUGUUAGAUCUAUAUUUAUUCAAUCUACUUUGGUUGUCUAUGUACAACAAUGGUAUAGAUGUAGCCGAACUUAGGCGUGCACCACCAAUUGGUAGCUUCAUAGUUGUUGGAGAAGGAAUUUCCGACAUGUGCUUAUCAUUGAUAAAGACACGAGAUCUAGUAAUCAAAUGUUGAUUUUUGCUUGACAAAUAUGUUCUUAUGGAACGAGUGUAUGCAUUUCAAUAUUGCAUCAUUUCAAUAAAGACACCUCUACUAGUGCUCUGUUGAUGCAUUUCAAUAUUCUUGCUUUGUUUCAAUUUGCUUUAUCAUGAAUAUAUACUUCCAUAUCCUUUUGUAUAAUGAAUACAUUUUUCUUUCAAUCAAAAAAAAAAAUUUGGGCGUAUUUGUUUAGUAAAAAAUUUCAUGAUUCCUGAAAAUUAUAUCAUUUUCCACAAAAAUAUUUUUUUCAUUUUCAUUUUCAAAUUAUAUCACUUUAAACAUGUAUGUCUUCUUUUCAUAAAUGGUUCUUCGUUGACUGAUCAUUUUCAACAAACCAAAUGAGUAAAAGUCCAAAAAACUAAUUCGUAUAAAGCUUUUUCAUUUAAACAAACAUGCCCUUAAAAAAUGUGGACUUCCUUGUUUGGGGCGUGCAGGUGUUUGUGGUCGGCUUACAAGCUUCAUCCUCAUAAAGUGAGCUCGCAGAUUUUGCACAUCAUUACUAAAAAAAAAAAAAUGGCAUAAUGAAACAUGAAUAAAGCUAAGGGUUAAUAUCCUGAAAAACCUCAAACUGAAUAUAUCUGUCAUAAAUUUAUCCCAAAAUAAUCAUAAAAAAUUCCAAACUUGUAGAUUUGUAACAAAUUUAUUCAACCUCUAAAAAUCUUAAAACUGCUACAUUUGCGAAAAAUAUACCAUCUAUUAAAUUAGAUUAAUAUCACAAAAAAUCACAAAAAUUGUACAAAUGUAGCAAACAUAAAGUAAAAUCCCAAACUGAUACACUAAUCAACUGUCACAUGCCAUCCAAUUCAAUAAUUUGACAGUAAAAUUUAACGAAGACUAACAAAUGGUAAAUUUGUCAUAAGUAUAUCAGUUUUUUGUAAAUUUAUCAAAGGUGUACCAAUUUGGGAUUUUUAGUGGUAAAAAAAUUAGUCUAGGUAAAUUUAUCACAUGUAUAUUAAUUUGGAGUUUUUUAAGGUAUUAAUCCUAAAGAUAAAUAUCAAGCAUUGGCUCUGUGAAAUUGGCAAUGAGGGAUGUCAAUUGCAAUUUUGUUGAGGACAAAUUGUAACCAUUCGAAUAGACACCUCUAACUAGUAGCUAAUGACUUCUUCUGUUGGAAAGCAGAAACUUUACAGCUUUUAAAAAUACUACCACUGGAUGGAUGGUACAUACUACGAAGCCACCUUUUUCUCAAUGAUGUAAUAUUUCUAUGACUAAUCAAACAUUCUAAGUUGGAUUAGUCAACACGAAUAUAGUGACAAAUGUAGACUCAUUUCUUGGGACAGUAAUGUGGAAUUAAUGGAAUCACGAGUUGUGAUGUCAAAUGCAUGAAAUGAUUGGCUAAAUUUUUUAAUUACUAGUCAAAAUGGUAAUAUUUAGCUCAAAUUUACGAGAUUGGUCGCACUUGGUAAUGGCACAAGAAAUCAAAUUAAUUUGUGCACUUUUUCCACCCGUUGGCACACAUGCACAUUUCAAACCUAGUUAAUAAUCUAGUCCCGUGGGUUAAGUGAGAGGACCUCAUCUCUAAUUCCGCAACAUCUAAGGUUGGCUAUGACAACGUGCUCCAUUUUUCAUUGGGAUAAUGACAAUGAAAAUCCUAAAACUUUCUUUUUUUCUUUUUUUCUUUUUUUGUAAAAGUAAUAUUUCAUUGAUUCUACAAAAGUACAAAAGAGGAACAAUGCAGCUCAACUACAAACCAAAAUAAACCUUUUGCAACUUCAUAUUAAAAAUAAAUUGCAAAUAACAAGAUAGUAAUAUUUCAUUAAUUUCUAAAAAAAUACAAGAGAGAAACAAUGCAAUCCAACUACAAACCAAGAUAAACCUUAUACAACUUCAUAAUAAAAAUAAAUUCCAGAUAACAAGCUAAAUUAUUAAAACAAGGUUAAGAGUGCUCAAAGAGUAGAUUUGUAACUUCUUCAAAUCAAAUCGGUGACCGAUCACCAAAUUUGUCUUUGAUAACAUGUACACACCAAAAUCUCCAACUGUUGCUAUAACUUUGCCUUUCCGCAGUGCUUACCUAAAUUUGGUGUCCUCAAUACCAUCAUUGUUCAAAGCCACAAAUUUGAAGGGGUGCAAAUUUGAAACUUGUGAAAGCGGAACCUUUGCAAAGCUCCUUCGAACUCUUUCGAAAUUGGAUUGUACACGAACAAAACCCAAGGGAAGGAAAACCCCAAAAUCAUACACCAAAAAUCUUAAAUCUAGAUUAGACUAGGGUAGAAAUCUCCCGAAAUGGGAGAGAGAAGUUUCAAGAUCUAAAUUAGUAGAACAAGUUUAAGAGUCACAUGCUCAAAGAGCAUAUCUGUAACUUCUUCAAAUCAAAUCGGUGGCCGAUCACUGAAUUCAUCUUCAGUAAUGCGUACACACAAAGGUCUCCAAUUGUUACUACAGCUUUGCCUUUCGGCGAUGCAUACCUAAAUUUUGUGUGCUCAAUACCAUCAUUAUUCAAAGCCACAAGGUUGAACGGGUGCAAAUUUGAUACCUGUGAAAAUGAAACCUUUGCAAAGCUCCUUCAAACUCUUUUGAAAUUGGAUUUGUACACCAACGAAACCUAAAGAAGCGAAACCCCAAAAUCAUACACCAAAAAUCCCUAAAUCUAGAUUAGAUUGGGGGUAGAAAUCUCCGUGAAAUGGGAGAGAGAAGUUUCAAGAUCUAAAUUAGAUGAGAAGAGAAAAACUCCACAAAACGGGAGGAAAGCAAAACAAGAAAACAUAGAUCUAAAUUUGCCAAAGAAAAAAAGGGAAGGGAGGGAGAGAUUUAGCUGAAACCCUCCUCUUCACAGUGGUUAAAAAAACGGCUACGUAAUGAAGAGAGGAGAGAAAAAAAUAACCCUAAGCAUGUUGUAAGUCACAUUUAAUCCUAAAACUCUUUUUCUUCAAUUAUUUAAAUUCUAAAACCUGUCAUCGUCCUUCAAAUUAGUCAUUCCAUUAACUCCCUAUCCUUCCUCUUUAAUGGAUGAAAAGGUCCAAGUUGGCAUUUUUUAUUAUUUAUUUCAUCCCUGUGGCUGAGAAUCUUGCUAAAAUCUAAAACAGUGUUGUUUAACGCAAAAACUAAUGUUAAUCCAAUUACUCUUUUAUAAAAUUAUCUAAUAACGAAAAAUGAAUUAAUUUUUUGUAGCUCAUAAAAUUAAUAGGAAAGGGAGUAGAAGUGCGUUAAUCCCCUAUGUCACGCCCCAAACCUCGAGCAAGUGCACAUCCCUCAAUGGUCGAUGUAACUGCGACGUCUCAGGACGCAUCAUCAACCCCUUUCUUUUAAUUGCACAUGCGGAAGCGUAUAACAAAAUUCCCAGACAACACAAAUAUGGGAUAGAAAAGCAAGAUGCCAUUUUCACCAAAACACUUUUCAUAAACAAACUAGUUUAUACACAGAGUCCAACUCUAAGGUCUAUGUACAGACUAUCUCCAAAAAGAACUAUUGAGCCAUCCAUGCUCCUAACCCUUCCGUCUCAAGCUCCGGGUUUUUCACACUAGGGACCUGAAAAGAUAAGCCCACGACGGCAAGUUCACCUCCUAAGCCUCGAUUAGUACACCAACUCUAUCACGCCCCGAUCCUUGGACGUGUGCCCAUCCCUUGGUGGUCGAUUAAAAAUUGCGACUUCCCAAGACGAGUUGCCAACCCUUUUUAUUUUAUUGCACAUGCAGAAGCGAAUAACAAAUUCCCUAACAAUAAUUACCUCGGGAUAGAAAAACAUGACAACAGAUUCACAAACAAAACAUGCUUUUAUAUACACACUGAGUCAUGUACAAAAGUCUACAACCAAAAAGACUUCAAAAGAUCGACUCUCAAAAGAAGUUGUUAUAUCUGACCAACAGUUCAUAUCACCUCAACUAGGCUCCAGAUCCUCCACUCUACGACCCCAAAAAGAAAUGAACCCAUGACGGGGAGAGAUAUAAAUCUUAGCAAGUUCACGCUCUAAACCUCGAUUAGGAGGGUAAUACGUCUAAAGGCAUCCUAACCACACAACCAUACAACCAUAGAGACUUACAUCGUUUCAAAUCCUCCCUGCAGGUCAACACAGUUCAUAUCACAAAUAGCCACAAAAGCAUGAGCAAUAAACAAGCUCAUCAACCGGAAUGCCACACUCAAAUUUCAAAUAAGCAUGGGGGUUCUGAUUAUAGAGCCAAAUUGUUAUGACACAUCUCAUACUAUGCCACACAAUUUUGUCCCAUAAUCUGGCGCAUUCAACUCAAUUAAUCAUGUGUUCCUAGUUUUAAUCUCGGCUUAUAGCACAACCUACUCGUUGUUUGGCGGUCUUCUGGCAUAGCCAUGCGUCAUCUCACCCCAUUGAGCAUGGCUACGUCUUUCCUAGACGGAUUUCCCGAAAGAGCAUAGAUCCAUAAUCUACUGUGAUUGGCUUCCGUUGUCCAGGGGCAACCCAUAUAGGGGCUUUGUCCAGCUUAAUAGCCUGGGAUGGGUUCUCUUAACCAACACACGAUCACUCAAUUAUGGCCAACGACACUGUGCAUUGUAUUCAAAUGUCUCAAUUAAAAUAAUGCACUUGGCUCAUUUUCCUCGUAUUAAAAACAUCCGGUGAAAAUUGUUGUGUGUAGGUACAUGGUCAAAUCGAACCAGAAAAAUUGAUACCCUCCUCUUAAAAUCCCACUAUUUUAUAUAGUACUUAAAACUAUUUUCGAUAUCAAAACCCGACACUUGGGAUUUUCUGAAUAAAUAUUGAAAUUCACAAAUUUUGGGAUAAAUAACCAAAAUUCCAAUCAGCACUCAAUUUGCACAAAAUAACACCAAAUUGCAUAAACUGAACACACCAUUGCAAUUAAUACGAAAUUCCAGUCACCAACUAUUCUGGUCUAAUUUUCGAAAAAUAUUAAAUAUUCAAAUAAUUUUCAAAAUUAUUUAAAUACAUACAUAUUAAUUCAAUAAAUACCAACUUAGGCUAAAAAUUGCUAAUCUAACCACCUAUUGGACUUAUAAAAUUAUACUAACCAUUCUAACUUCAAGGCCACAUAAUAAACUAUCUAACUAAAAUUUCUAACCACCUAAUUUACUAUUUUACAAACCUAAAUUAACUAAACAAGCUAAUAACUACACUAAUCUAAUCUUACUUUAAUCUAAACACCCCUUAAGCGUCAUUAACAUCCUAAUUAGAGUUUAGUGCAUAAACUCACCGGUUUAGCGCGAAAACCGGUUCACCGCGACGGCAGCGCGACGGCAGCCGAAGCUCGAGCUCACGGCGACGCCAACAGGAGACAAACCGAAGCUGAAAACGGCCCCGCAAGUCAUAGCCAAGGGGUUGGACUCGGUUCUGAUUGAGGCUGGCUUUGGCUUGGUUUGGCUGAGUUGCGGUGGACGCGGCAACGUCGGAGCGGAAAGGUUGGGCUUGCGAUUCCUAGACGUAUGGCCGUAAAAUGGAGGAGAAACGAACAGAGAUGGCAGCUGGCGCACGAAGGCGCUGCAAGGGGCUGCUUCGGUCAACGUUAGGGGCUUCGCUUGGAGUGGAGUUGACUUAGACGUGGCAGCUGGGAUGGCUUCGGUGGGAGAGACAAGCAGUGGUGGUAGAGUAGAGAAACGAGACCGAGAAUGAGGGAAAAGGAAGCAGGUGCUGGCGGAGAGAGAGAGAAAACGAUGGAGCUGCUUCGGUGAAGGAAUAAAGGAACGAAAGCAGAAGACAUAGGGGUCGGUCGAACUGGCGUGCGCGAAAGAAAGACCGAAGGAGAGGGGCAGCUUGGCGUGAGGAGGAAGCUGCGGUUUGGGGGGGAAUAAGUCAACAAAAUUAUCCACUCAAUUAAAUGCUUGGUUUAUAAGCCUUCAAGUUAAUCCCCUUUGUCCCCAUCACUUUCAUGCAUCUAAAUCCCCACAAAUAACAAUUUAUGACGCCAAAUGUUGUAGCCCCCUUCAAGCCUCCGAAUUUCCUCACUUUGGACUUCAAUUCUUCACCAAAUUCCCCAAUUUAAUAUCCAAAUUUGCUAAGGAGGAAGCCCACACUAUUUCUACAAUUUCUUUUCACCAAAUAGUUCACUUUGGAGGCCAAAAAUCCCUUCAAUUUGGUCCAUUUGAAUUUUUGUUCUUUUCCGAAUCGUCCGAAUUGAUUUUCCGUAAAAAUCCCGAGCUCGCCGAAAAUUCUUCGAAUGAUGAGUUGACGUUUCUAAAAUAAAUUAUGACAUAUCAUAACUUUUAAUUUCUGAAAUCGGGUUCAAAUUUGCGGUUAAUUUCAAUCUGGCGAUUUUAGCAUGACCUAACUUACUAGGUAGCUUUUAUGAAUUUUUUAUGCAAUUGACCUGUGGUUGAUUAUUUUCAAGCCAUAAUGUACAUCUUCAAUGCAUUGAUGACUCUCAGUUGUCGUGAAAAUUUCGAGGUUUCAAAUAUGGACAUAGGGUAUAAGGUAUAGAAAUGACAGAAAAAUCGGUCUAGUGCCGUUCGAUAGAAAUUUUGCAAUUAGGUGGAAUCAUCCACACACUAAUCACAUAUCUCUAUCGCAUCGACCUAUCUCUAGUCUAUGAUCAAUUUUUUACUGUGCCGUAAUGACCCUUGCAUAUCAGUAUGGUCGAGUAGUCGAUUAUUGGUCGAAUUCUCAGGUCUAUUGCGUUUAGAUUCUUCAACGGCUUCACCUGAUAGACUAGUUAUCCCGUUAGUGAUCAGCUCAGGGAAAAGAACUAUAGCCGCAUCAAUGAAAAACCCAACUUAUUCAAUCGAAAACAGAGCCUGAAAUUCAGGAUGUCACAAACUCAACUCGGGGUAUCUCUCUAGAACCACCCCAUAAACAAAGCAACGGCUAACACCCAACAAUCAACAAAUAACACAAUCAGGGCCAACUAACAAUCAAUUAGUCGGUUCACAUGCAACCUUAUCGAGCACAACAUUCCCUACACGUUGCAUCUCAACACAAUACACGAAAUACACAUGGCCCUUAGAUGAUAUAGUUCAUCAAUCACACACUAGUCGCGUCACAAGUGAUCUCACCUAGCCAUUACCACACCCUACACGCUAUUGAUUCAUGCGUGCGUGUCAUAAAAAAUGUGCCCAACUCAUGCACAGUCAAAACCAAUGAUGCCAUGAUUCACAUACGCUCUUGCACUUUAGUGCGCCACCCAUCAUGCAUUAAUUGAUCACACUGGUUCCGAUCAUAAGGUGAAAUCGCUAUGACAUAUCCCAUACCAUGCCACACAAUUUUACCUCAUAAUAAGACCCAACCAUCUCAACACUCACGCGUGUUCCACUUAUUAAUGACCUCCCGGCCGUGGCUAACUUUCCAGUCAACGAUCAUCGACCUCAACACUCGUGCGUGCUCCAGUUAUUAAUGACCUUCUAGUCAUGGCUAACUUACCAGUUAGCGAUCAUCUGACUCCUGCCAAGAUACCAAUAAAUAUCGGGCUUCGUCCCACCCCAUCGGGCACGGCUACAUUUAGAACUCUCGUUUAGACAGUAUCCCAAAAAUGGACAUCGAUCCAGAAUCUACCGGAUUGGCUUCUGACUCCCAUCAGGUAUCGCCCCCAAACUCCCGUUGGGUGACGGAUUCCACUUCUUGAUCAUGCAAGUACACCACUAAGACUCCCUUUUUAUCUUUGAGCAUUUAAUCAAUGCACAAUACUUACAAAUACAAUUUCAAAUCAUUUUCCCCUAAAGGUGGUCCAUUUCGGUAUCUCUCGGACAAAGCAUAUUUCCCUUUUUUGUGAAAAUCACUCAAUUCAUGUAGAUACCCAUACAUUUAUACACUCAAAUCACCUCAUAAGAUCAAAGCACAUAAAUUUAGACAACUUUUCAUUCUUGGGUGGACAGUGCGCGUGAACAGUACCUCGUGAACAAUAUUCAAAUGAACAGUGAAUUUCCAGAAUUAAAUAACCAAUAAAUUAAAUCCAAACGCCAUUAAAAACACUAAUUAAAGCAAGCAAUAAAUCAAUUAAAGCUAAACAAGCUUAAUUAAGUACAUAAGCAUCAUUAACCCAAUAAAGCAAGAUUAAGCUAAACUAAUCUUAGUCAUUCAUCUAACCACCUAUCUUAGGACUAGUAUAGCUUAAUUAAAUCUCUUAAACUAGAUUCAACACUAAUUAAACCAACCCUAAGCAAGUUUAUUAUUUAAAUAUUAAAAUAUGUCAACGCUGCUCCAAUUUUCAUUGGAUAAUGCCAAUGAAAAUUCUUACACUUGUGUCAGUCCGUCACAUUUAGUUUUCAAAUUCCUUUUCUCGAUUAUUUAAUUAUUAAAAUAUGUCGUCAUCCUUCAAGUUAGUCAUUUCAUUAACUUCCCAACUUUUAGUUGAUGGAAAAGUCUAGGCUGGCAUUUUUUAUUAUUUAUUUCCUCCACAAGGGCGACAUUUUGCGUUCAUCCUUUUAUGUUUUAUAAAAUUAUUUAUUAAAGAAAAAUGAAAAUGUUUUUUUUUUUUUUUUGAGAUUGUAAGAUUAAAAGGAAAGGGGGACGGCAAUGUGUUGUGCCCUCUAUAGCCAACCUCCCUGUCGGGGUCGAGGUAAGGGUGGUUGGCCCUCACUUAGCCACAAGCGCAAGCUACAAUUCUUGCAACCACCAGGCAAGGGCUGCUGCAACCAUCAAGCAAGGGCCCUUGCCUAUGAAUCAAGAUAAACGUCAAGUGGUGCCUUUAUCAAAUAUCGCUAUGGUGCCGAGGGAUGUCAAUUGCAAUUUCGGGGAGGACAAACUGUCCGCCAUCAAAUAGAGAAGUCUAACUAGUAGCCACUGACCAUUAUCAGAAAGCAGAAAUUUUAGCACUUUGAAAAAGACAACCACUGGAUAGAUAGUAUGUAUCAUGGGACCACCAGUUUUCUCAAUGAUGUGAUAUCUCUAUGGCUAAUCAAACAAUCCAAAUUGCAUUAGUCAAAUACAAAUAAAGUAACAAAAGGAGAAUCAUUUCCUGCGUUACUGAUGUGAAAUUAAUGGAAUCACAAACUUUUACCUAAACCGCAUAAAAUGAUUUACUAAAUUUGUAAAUUAAAUAAGACGUGAAACAAACUAAUUAUAAUUAGAUCAAAUAUGGAAGAAUGGUUGCACAGUUUGUGAUGGCACAAAGAAAUCAAAAUUAAUUUGUACACUUUAUUCACUCGCUAGCACACAUGCAUAUAUCAAACAUAGUUACUAAUCUACUCCCAUGGAAUAAGUGAGAGCACCUCAUCUCCAAUUCCACAACAUUUCCGAAGUUGGCUAUGGCAACGCUGCUCCAAUUUUCAUUGAAUAAUGACAAUGAAAAUUCUUACACUCGUGUCAGUUUGUCACAUUUAGUUUUCAAAUUCUUUUUCACGAUUAUUUAAAUAUUAAAAUAUGUCGUCAUCCUUCAAGUUAGUCAUUUCAUUAACUUCCCAACUUUGAGUUGAUGGAAAAGUUUAGGCUGGCAUUUUUUAUUUAAUUAUUUCCUCCACAAGGGUGACAUUUUGUGUUCGUCCUUUUAUGUUUUAUAAAAUCUUUUAUUAAAGAAAAAUGAACAAGUUUUUUUUUUUUAAAAGCUUGUAAGAUUAAAAUGAAUGGGGGACGGCAAUGUGUUGUGCCCUCUAUAUCCAACCUCCCUUGUCCGGGUCAAGGUAACAGUGGUUGGACCUCACUUGGCCAUAGGCGCAGGCUACUAUUCUCGCCACCACCUGGGCAAGGGCUGCCGCGACCAUGAAGCAAGGGCCCUUGCCUGUGAAUAAAGAUACACGUCAAGUGCUGCCUCUAUCAAAUAUCGCUCCAGUGCCGGGGGAAGUAAAUUGCAAUUUCGGGGAGGACAAAUCGUCCGCCAUCGAAUAGAGACUUCCAACUAGUAGCCAAUGACCAUUGUUGGAAAGCAGAAAUUUUAGCACUUUGAAAAAGACAACCACUGGAUAGAUAGUUUGUAUCACGAGACCAUCAGUUUUGUCAAUGAUGUGAUAUCUCUAUGGCUAAUCAAACGAUCCAAAAUGGCUCAGUCAAAUACGGAUAAAGUAACAAAAGGAGAUUCAAUUCAUGGGUCAAUGAGGUGAAAUUAAUGGAAUCACAAACUUUCAAGUAAACCGCAUGAAAUGAUUUACUAAAUUUGUAACUUAGAUAAGACGUGAAACAAAAUGAUUAUAAUUAGCUCAAAUAUGAAAGACUAGUUGCACAGUUUGUGAUGGCACAAAGAAAUCAAAAUCAAUUUGUGCACUUUAUUCGCCCGCUAGCACACAUGCAACCUAGUUACUGAUCUACUCCCAUAACUUAAGUGAGGGCACCUCAUCUCCAAUUCCCAACAUUUCCGAAGUUGGCUACGACAAUGCUGCUCCAAUUUUCAUUGGAAAAUGACAAUGAAAACUCUUACGCUCGUGUCAGUCCGUCACAUUUACCUUUCAAAUUCUUUUUCUCGAUUAUUUAAAUAUUAAGAUAUGUCGUCAUCCUUCAAGUUAGUCAUUUCCUUAACUUCUCAACUUUUAGUUGAUGGAAAAGUCUAGGCUGACAUUUUUUAUUAUUUAUUUCCUCCACAAGGGAGACAUGUUGUUUUCAUCCUUUUAUGUUUUAUAAAAUCAUUUGUUAAAGAAAAAUGAGUUUUUUUUUUUUUUUUAAGCUUGUAAGAUUAAAAGGAAAGGGGGAUGUCAAUGUGUAGUGCCCUCUAUAGCAACCUCCCUUUUCAGGUUCGAGGUAAGGGUGGUUGGCCCUCACUUGGCCAUAAGCACAGGCUACUAUUCUCGCCACCACCAUGCAAGGGCAGCUGCGACCAUCAAGAGAGGGCCCUUGCCUGUGAAUAGAGAAGUCCAACUAGUAGCCAAUGACCAUUGUCGGAAAGCAGAAAUUUUAGCACUUUGAAAAAGACAACCACUAGAUAUAUUGUAUGUAUCAUGGGAGCACCAGUUUUCUCAAUGAUGUGAUAUCUCUAUGGCUAAUCAAACAAUCCAAAUUGGAUUAGUCAAAUAUGAAUAAACUAACAAAAGGAGAUUCAUUUCGUGGGUCAGUGAUGUAAACUUAAUGGAAUCACAAACUUUGAUGUAAACCGCAUGAAAUGAUUUACUAAAUUUCUAAAUUAGAUACGACGUGAAACAACAUGAUUAUAAUUAGCUCAAAUAUGGAAGGCUGGUUGCACAGUUUGGGAUGGCACAAAGAAAUCAAAAUUAAUUUGUGCACUUUAUUCACCCGCUAGCACACAUGAAUAUAUCAAACCUAGUUACUAAUCUACUCCCAUGGGUUAAGUGAGAGCACCUCAUCUCCAAUUCCAGAACAUCUCCGAAGUUGGCUACGACAAUGCUGCUCCAAUUUUCAUUGCAUAAUGAUAAUGAAAAUUCUUACACUCGUGUCAGUCCGUCACGUUUAGUUUUCAAAUUGUUUUUCACGAUUAUUUAAAUAUUAAAAUAUGUCGUCAUCCUUCAAGUUAGUCAUUUCAUCAACUUCCCAACUUUUAGUUGAUGGAAAAGUCUAGAUUCGCAUUUUUUAUUAUUUAUCUCCUCUACAAGGGCGACAUGUUGUGUUCAUCCAUUUAUAUUUUAUAAAAUCAUAUACUAAAGAAAAAUGAACAUGUUUUUUUUUUUUUGAGCUUGUAGGAUUAAAAUGGGGGACGGCAAUGUGUUGUGGGCUCUAUAGCCAACCUCCCUUGUCGAGGUGAAGGUAAGGGUGAUUGGCCCACACUAAGCCAUACCUGCAGGCUAUGAUUCUCGCCACCAUCAGGCAAGGGCUGCUGCGACCAUGAAGCAAUGGCCCUUGCCUUUGAAUCAAGAUAAACAUCAAGUGGUGCCUUUAUCAAAUAUCGCUCUAGUGCCGGGGAAUGUCAAUUGCAAUUUUGGGGGAGGACAAAUUGUCUGCCCGAAUAGAGACGUCAAACUAGUAGCCAAUGACCAUUGUCGGAAAGCAGAAAUUUUAGCACUUUGAAAAAGACAACCACUGGAUAGAUUUUAUGUAUCACGAGACCACCGAUUUUCUCAAUGAUGUGAUAUCUCUAUGGCUAAUCAAACAAUCCAAAUUGGAUUAGUCAAACACGAAUAAAGUAACAAAAGGAGAUUCAUUUCCUGGGUCAGUGAUGUGAAAUUAAUGGAAUCACAAACUUUGAUGUAAACCGCAUGAAAUGAUUUACUAAAUUUGUAAAUUAGAUAAGACGUGAAACAAAAUGAUUAUAAUUAGCUCAAAUAUGGAAGACUAGUUGCACAGUUUCUGAUGGCGCAAAGAAAUCAAAAUUAAUUUGUGCACUUUAUUCACCCGCUAGCACACAUGCAUAUAUCAAACCUAGUUACUAAUAUACUCCCAUGGGUUAAGUGAGAGCACCUCAUCUCCAAUUCCACAACAUUUCCGAAGUUGGCUAUGACAACGCUACUCCAAUUUUCAUUGGAUAAUUACAAUGAAAAUUCUUACACUCAUGUCAGUCCGUCGAAUUUAGUUUUCAAAUUUUUUUCUCAAUUAUUUAAAUAUUAAAAUAUGUCGACAUCCUUCAAGUUAGUCAUUUCAUUAACUUCCCAACUUUUAGUUGAUGGAAAAGCAUAGGCUGGCAUUUUUUAUUAUUUAUUUCCUCUACAGGGGCGACAUUUUGUGUUCAUCCAUUUAUUUUUUAUAAAAUUAUUUAUCAAAGAAAAAUGACUUGUUUUUUCUUCUUCUUUUUUUGAGCUUGUAAGAUUAAAAUGGGGGACGGUAAUGUGUUGUGGCCUCUAUAACCAACCUCCCUUGUCGGGGUCGAGGUAAGGUUGGUUGGCCCUCACUUGGCCAUAAGCGCAGGCUACGAUUCUCGCCACCACCAAGCAAGAGCUGUUGCAACCAUGAAGCAAGGGCCCUUGCUUGUGAAUCAUGAUAAACGUCAAGUGGUGCCUUUAUCAAAUAUCGCUCUGGUGCCGGGGGAUGUCAAUUGCAAUUUCGGGGAGGACAAAUUAUCCGCCAUCGAAUAGAGACGUCCAACUAGUAGCCAAUGACCAUUGUCAAAAAGCAGAAAUUUUAGCACUUUGAAAAAGACAACCACUGGAUAGAUUGUAUGGAUCACAAGACCACCCGUUUUCUCAAUGAUGCGAUAUCUCUAUGGCUAAUCAAACAAUCCAAAUUGGAUUAGUCAAAUACGAAUAAAGUAACAAAAGGAGUUUCAUUUCCUGGGUCAGUGAUGUGAAAUUAAUGGAAUCACAAACUUUGAUGUAAACCGCAUGAAAUGAUUUACUAAAUUCAUAAAUUAGAUAAGACGUGAAACAAAAUGAUUAUAAUAAGCUCAAAUAUGGAAGACUGGUUGCACAGUUUGUGACGGCACAAAGAAAUUAAAAUUAAUUUGUGCACUUUAUUCACCCGCUAGCACACAUGCAUAAAUCAAGCCUAGUUACUAAUCUACUCCCAUGGGUUAAGUGAGAGCACCUCAUCUCCAAUUCCACAACAUUUCCAAAGUUGGCUACGACAAUGCUGCUCCAAUUUUCAUUGGAUAAUGACAAUGAAAAUUCUUACACUCGUGUCAGUCCGUCACAUUUAGUUUUCAAAUUCUUUUUCUCGAUUAUUUAAAUAUUAAAAUAUGUUGUCAUCCUUCAAGUUAGUCAUUUCAUUAACUUCCCAACUUUUAGUUGAUGGAAAAGUCUAGGCUGUUAUUAUUUCCUCUACAAGGGCGACAUUUUGUGUUCAUCAAUUUAUAUUUUAUAAAAUUAUUUAUUAAAGAAAAAUUAACUUGUUUUUUUUUUUUUUUUGAGCUUGUAAGAUUAAAAGGAAAGGGAGACGGCAACGUGUUGUGCCCUCUAUAGCCAACCUCCCUUGUGGGGGUCGAGGUAAGGGUGGUUGGCCCUCACUUGGCCAUAAGCGCAAGCUACGAUUCUCGCCACCACCAGGCAAGGGCUGCGACGAUCUGAAGCAAGGGCCCUUGCCUAUGAAUCAAGAUAAACGUCAAGUGAUACCUUUAUCAAAUAUGAUUUAUAUUAUUGUAACUCAAUGAACCAAAAAAAUGAAACUCAAUGAAACCAAAAAGAAAAACAAAGUUCUUGGUAGACCUUGGAAUCAAACUACAAAAUAGGACACGUUCUAGGGUCGGUUUUUGGACAAAUAGGGUAGGUUACAAGUUUCAAAAACUGAUAAUUAGUUCUACCAGAGCACGUUCUAAAUUUCAAAUUCUAGGUUUAGAAUACGUUCACCCCUUAAAUUCCUUAUUGAUUGUACAUCAGAAUAUAAUAUAGUGUAAUACAAUAAUUAUGGGCAAGAAAUGAGAUUUCGUUAAUAAAGUAAGUGCUAAAAUUACAACAUCAGAUGACUAAAAGAUUUAUUUACGAUUGAGAUUAAAGAGAUGCUCUUGAGAGUGUCCUCCAGAGAAAUGCAUAAGGACGGUGAUUUGAACCUAGGAGCAUGUACGGAUCGCUUGGUGAUUUGUUUUAUAUGCCAGUUCACUUUAUAAGUAAAGCCAACGACUUCUGGAAAAAAUAUAUCAGUACAGGCCAAGCCCCAACCUGUUCCUUGAACACCAUGAGAAACUCGUCAUUUCUCCUUGCGCUUGUUCUCUCAAUCCUUCACUUGUCUUCUCAACCUUCCGCUGCAACUCGCACUACUUUGAGCAGAGGCGACUCUCUCUCCAUUGAUAACCCGGAUGACAUCCUCAUCUCAAAAUCUGGUGUCUUCUCCGCCGGUUUUUACCCCGUCAGCAAGAGCGCUUACUGCUUUGCCAUCUGGUUCAGCCAUCCACCAUGCAGCAGCCAGAAUUGCACCGUAGUUUGGAUGGCAAACCGCAAUGAACCUGUCAACGGGAGGUACUCUAAGCUUUCUAUUAAAAAGAACGGUGAUCUCGUGCUAACCGAUGCCAGCCACACUGUUGUUUGGGCCAUAGAUACAGCCUCAUUCUCAUGGUCGAAAACACCGGUUCAUCAGUUACGACUCCUAGACUCUGGUAAUCUUGUUCUUCUUGACAGAGAAGGUAACGUCCCACUCUGGCAAGCUUCAACUACCCGACCGACGUGCUCCUCCCUGGACAGAACCUCACCUGGAACACACCACUCGUUUCCUCUCGGAGCAACGGCAGCUUCUCUUCUGGCUAUUACAAGUUAUACUUCGACAACGACAACGUCCUUUGUCUCCUCUUCGAUGGACCUUUGAUCUCAAGAGUAUACUGGCCAGACCCGGCCUAUGUGAGUUGGGAAGUUGGAAGAACAACCAACAACUAUAGUAGAGUUGCAGUGCUCGAUUCCAUGGGGAAUUUCACUUCAUCUGACAAUCUGACGUUCCUGACGUCGGAUUUUGGCAAGAAAACACAACGUAUGUUAAAGGUGGAUCAUGAUGGUAAUGUAAGGGUCUAUAGUAGAGAAAAAGAUGAAAAGUGGGUUGUAACAUGGCAAGGCUUAUCUGAGUCAUGUGCUGUUCAUGGGACUUGUGGACCGAAUAGCGUUUGCAGGUACAGCCCGAGGGAGGGGAGGAGUUGCUCUUGCCCUCCGGGAUAUGUGUGGAAUAAUGACACUGAUUGGACUCAGGGAUGUGCGCCCAAAUUCGAGAGCUUCUGCAACCCGGGUUCUGAUGCUCAUGUCGAUUUCCUGCGUUUGCCUCACCAUGAUUUCUAUGGAUAUGAUAAGGACUAUUUUCCAAACACUACCCUGGCGUCGUGCAAGAAAAUGUGCGCAGAUCUUUGCAAUUGUAAAGGCUUUCAAUACAAAUUCAACGGGGAAAAAGGGAGCUUCGACUGUUUCCCCAAGAUACAGCUGUUAAAUGGAUAUAUUUCCUUCUCAUUUAUUGGGAGCACUUAUUUGAAACUACCAAAAGCUAAUCUCUCUUCUUAUCAAAUACCCAGCAAAGGAUUCGACCCACUGCCCUGUCCCCCAAAAGCUCAAGAAGUUGUCACUUAUCUGAAAGGCCACCAGAAUUCGACACUUGAGAUCUUGCUCAUUUUUUGCAACAGCGCUGGCUGGAGUGGAAAUUGUUGUAGUCUUCCUCACAUGGUCCUUUUUGGUCAGGACUAAUCCUGACAAACGGGGAGGUUAUGCAAAGGGAUAUCGUCUUGCGGGGACAGGAUUUACAAGGUUCACAUAUGCCGAGCUAAAGAAAGCGACCAGGAACUUUAACAAAGAGAUUGGAAGAGGAAGUGGGGGGAUUGUGUACAAGGGUGUCCUGCCAGAUCAUGGGGAAGCAGCGGUCAAGCUGCUAAACGAGGAAAAUCAAGGAGAAGAUGAGUUCCUGGCUGAAGUGAGAACAAUUGGGAAUCUCAAUCACAUGAACCUGAUUGCGAUGUGGGGUUACUGCGUGGAGGGAAGGCACAGGCUCUUGGUUUAUGAGUUCAUGAAUCACGGUUCCUUGGCAGAAAACCUUUCUUCCGAUCAACUCGACUGGAAGAAGAGGUAUGAGAUCGCGGUGGGAUCAGCCAAGGGGCUUGCUUAUCUUCACGAGGAGUGCUUGGAAUGGGUUCUCCAUUGCGACGUGAAGCCACAGAACAUACUCCUUGAUUCUGAUUACCAACCAAAGGUGGCCGAUUUUGGGCUCUCUAAGCUACUUAACAGAGAGGGCUUAAGAAUACAAGUUUCUCAAGAAUCAGAGGAACGAGGGGUUACAUGCCAAUCACCUCCAAAGUGGAUGUGUACAGCUAUGGAAUCGUUCUAUUGGAGAUGCUGACAGGAGGGAACGCGGUCGCAGGCCAUGCCAUCCGCGGAGAAGUAAAAGGCGAGAACAAAACGUUGACUUCUUGGGUGAGAGAGAAGAUGAAACCAGGAGUGCCCACGGAGACAUGGAUAAGGGAAAUUGUCAAUCCAACCGUAAAGGGACCUUACGACAUCAAGAAGAUGGAAGUUUCGGUUGCGGUGGCACUUCAGUGUGUGGAGGAGGACAGAGAUGCGAGACCCACCAUUAGCCAGGUGGUUGAGAUGCUUCUGCGCCAUGAAAGUGAGGAUCUGUAAUUCGGAUACGAGCAUAACUGCUCGGGUUCCAACUCUAAAUAACCGGACAGUGGCAAAGGUAAUAGUCUUUGGAUGUAUAAACCUAGGAAAUGUAAGUGUUUAGGAACAAGUCUCUGUUUAUCUCUGUUUUAUCUUCUUGGAAAUCUAGGAAAGAUCAUUUAGCAUGAUAGUUCCCUGUAAGAAACAUCAUUCAGCAACAAGGACGCUAUUGCUCUUUUGUGGAAUGUUCACCUUUGGUGCUUAUGAUCCAGUCUUAUGAAUCCUCGGUUGAUCUGACAUGGUUUAAAUCGGUAUACGUAGAGGUGCCUUAGGCUCACGAGAUGGUACACUUCUUAAUAACAAAUCAUUGACUAGAUAAAAUAGUUACAAUCUAUAAUCUCCUUUUCAGACAUCAACUUUUAAACAUAACUAUCGCCAUACACUUCUCAUUCUUUUCGGCCGUGCUUUGCUACGAGCUAGUCUAAUACCUAAACCGAAGCAGUUCACUUGGGCUAGGGAACUUGACAUUAAUCUUGAGAGGUCAAGCCAUCAAAAAAUAGUUUGAAAUUGUUGACACCAAAGUUGAUUUGGUCAUUGAUACGCACGUGCUUGGCAGUUAGCAUGAGAAUGAGAAAUAUGUGGCAUAUGAGCAGGGAUAAGCAGCAAUCACGUGUAACAAAUGGGAUAACUUUCGUCCCUCGAGCACUUCGAGUUAUGCUCUUUAAAAGCUGCGUUAUUAUGUGGAAAUAAAGUGAUAACUCUAACGAUAUAAAAAAUGAAUAAGCCGUCUACUCAGUUUAAAUAAAUUAUUUGAGUUUCUAUUGCUGUUUACUUGAAUUAAGAAUUUUCCACUUCUUCCGUACAUAGCACGGGCCAGAUUACUGUACAUACAGGGUAAUCUUAACAUAUCAUUUUGAGAAUAAACACACUACAUAUUGUAUUUGCAAGGCACUGAGGAAAAAUCAAACGGAGAGAAAGUUCACGAGCCUCAUGGGUAGGAGAAAGAACAACACACUCCGAUGCUACAGACAAAGCGUAUAGGAGUGGUUGAUGCUACAGACAAAGCGUAUAGGAGUGGUUUAUUUUGAAAAAUGACUUUGUAUUUUAUAUAUAAACAUCUCAGUACAAGCCAGUCCUCAACUGGAACGCCAUGAGAAACUCGUCAUUCCUCCUUGCGCUUGUUCUCUCAAUCAUUCACUUGUCUUCUCAACAUUCCUCUGCAACUCGCGCCACUUCGCGCAUUGGCAACUCUCUCUCCGUUGCCAAUCCAGACAACAUCCUCAUCUCAAAGUCCAGCGUCUUCUCCGUAGGCUUUUAUCCCAUCGGCAAGAACGCUUACUGCUUUGCCAUAUGGUACAGCAAUCCACCGUGCAGUGGUCAGAAUUGCACGGUAGUUUGGAUGGCAAACCGCGAUGAACCUAUCAAUGGGAGAUACUCUUAAUCUUUUGGUUCAAAAGAAUGGCUAUCUUGUGCUAACCGACGCCAAGGACGCUAUUGUUUGGGCAACAGAUACGGCCUCACUCUUCUGGUCAAAGACACCAAUUCGUCAGUUACAGCUCCUAGACUUUGGUAAUCUUGUUCUUAGUGACAGAGAAGGCAAGGUCCCGUUGUGGCAAAGCUUUGACUACCUGAUCGAUGUGCUCCUCCCCGAACAAAACCUCAUUGGGAACACACCGCUUGUUUCCUCUCGGUGCAGCCGCAACUUCUCUUCUGGCUGGACCCGGGCCAUGUGUUGCAAAAUAUAGAGGAGGAGGAGGAGGAGGAGGAGCAUUGGGGGAAGAAUACGUAACACGGUUUGUUGCGAUCUAAAAAUAAUAAAUUCGAGAAAGUGAUAACAAAAAGAAAUAGUAAUUGGAGGUGAGGUACAGUUAGCUAAAUCACCUUAAGACGAUUAGUUUUCUCACUAUUUGUUGGGUUUACUAGAAAAUCAAGAUGGCUAAUAACAGUGAUGUCCAGAACGUUCCUGAAGAUGAUCCUUUGGUUGUUUCAACCGGUGAGGUUCAAACCUUGUGGCGUGGUGUUAUGGCAGCAAAUGCUGCGAGCCUUCAGGCUAAAACAAUCUACGGUGGUACAACAUGCCCAGGACUUUUUUAUAACAAUACAAACCAAAUGGUGUGUAGUCCAAUUUUUGGAGAGAUGGUUCAAUGGGAGCAUCCAUUUGAAACUACCAAAAGCCAAUCUCUCUUCUUAUCAAAGACCCACCAAAGGAUUCAAUUCCCUGUCCUGUCCCCCAAAAGUUCAAGAAGUUUUCCUGUAGAGGACUUAUCUGAAAAGCCAGAUGAAUUCGACACUCAACAUCUUGUUCACUGUUGCUAUGGUGCUAGCUGGAGUGAAAAUUGUUGUAGUCUUCCUCACACGGUCCUUGAUCGGGACUGAUCCUGACAAACUUGGAGGUUAUGCAAAGGGAUAUCAUCUUGCGGGAGCAGGAUUCACAAGGUUCACGUAUGCCGAGCUAAAGAAAGCGACCGAGAACUUUAGCAAAGAGAUUGGAAGAGGAAAUGGGGGAAUUGUGUGCAAGGGUGUCUUGCCAUAUCAUGGGGAAGCAGCGGUCAAGCUGCUAAACGAGGCCAAUCAAGGAGAAGACGAGUUCCUGGCCGAUGUGAGAACAAUUGGGAAUCUCAAUCACAUAAACCUGAUUAUGAUGUGGGGCUACUGCGUGGAGGGAAGGCACAGGCUCUUGGUUUAUGAGUUCAUGAAUCACGGCUCCUUAGCAGAAAACCUUUCUUCCUAUCAACUUGACCGGAAGAAAAGGUAUGAGAAUUGCGGUAAGAUCAGCCAAGGGGCUUGCUUAUCUUCAUGAGGAGUGCUUGGAUUGGGUUCUCCAUUGCGACGUGAAGCCACAAAACAUACUCCUCGAUUGUGAUUACCAACUAAAGGUGGCCGAUUUUGGGCUCUCUAAGCUACUUAACAAAGAGGGCCUUUAGAAUACGAGUUUCUCAAGAAUUAGAGGAACAAGGGGGUUACAUGGCUCCUGAAUGGAUUUACAAUAUGCCCAUCACGUCUAAAGUGGAUGUGUAUAGCUAUGGAAUCAUUCUGCUCGAGAUGCUAACCGAAGGAAACCUGGUCAUAGGCCAUGCCAUUGAUGGAGAAGUAAAAGUGGGGAACAAGGAGAUUAAUUACCUGGGUAAGAGAGAAGAUGAAACUAGGAGUGGCCAUGGAGACAUGGAUAAGGGAAAUUGUGGAUCCGACUGUAAAGAGACUUUACGACAUCAAGAAGAUGGAAGUUUUGGUUGCGGUGGCGCGUCAAUGUGUCGACGAGGACAAACAUGCGAGACCCACCACGAGCCAUGUGGUUGAGAUGCUUCUACGCCAUGAAAGUGAAAAUCUAUAAUUAGAUACCAGCAUAACUGCUUGAAUUCUAGCUCUAAAUAAGUGGACAGUUGCAAAGGUAAUAGCCUUUGGUUGUACAAACCUAGGAAAGAUAAUUUAGUAAGUGUUUAGGAACAAGUUCCUGUUUAUCUUUAUUUUAUCAUCUUGGAAAUUUAGGAAAGAUCAUUUAGCAUAAUGGUUCCUAGUAAGAGAGAUCAUUCAGCAAUGAGGACGCGAUAGCUCUCUUGUUACCGUUUGUCUUUGGUGCUUCUAAUCCAAUCUUAUGAAUAGAAGGUUGAUUAGACAUGGUUUAAAUAUUCAUUUUUAAAUAUUCAUUUAUUUUGCAAAAAUAUAAAAAAAUAUUCACCAAAUGGUACACUUCUUCUUAAUAACAAAUUAUUAACUAGAUAAAAUAGUUAAAAUUUCAAAUUUCUAUUGAUAUCUGAAUUUUUGUCGACGUUUUAAAUAUUUAUUUAUUUUGUAGAAAUAUAAAAAAAAUUAUAAAAAGGUAAAAAGCAAAAAAAAAAUGAAAAAAGAAAUGAAUGAAAUGAAAUGAGCGAGGGAGGAACAACAAGCUGUGACGCAAGCAAAUCCACGCCUUCUAGAAGGCUGAGCUGGCGUGAGGGAUGAGGAGGCCUAACCGAAAAAGAUUCGGGGAGAGGCGGGGGGGAGCGUGCGUGAGCGGGCGAGGAGGCUAACCCAAAAAGAAGAAGACCAGGUUGCAGAGAGGGAGGAGGGGGCAGAAGUUUUUCUUUGGCUAAAGAAGAGAGGAUCGUUCGGCAGGAGAGGGCAUUAUUCGGCCAUUAAAGAAAGAAAAAGAGCGAGGGCUUUUCUUUUUCUAGAGGCGCCGCUCUCAGUGCGACCGCCACGAAGAACGUUCUCUCGGGUCCAGUCCAUGUUCGUCCUCAUGAGCGACGUUUCCCAAACUCUCCUCACACCGGCCGGCCAUUUUCUUAAGCUUCGCCAAUGAACAAGCAGCAGUUGCAACGCCACAUCUAAUCAGGUAAGCAUCUCGCUCCCCCUAGAUAUCCUGUAUUUUCUUCAUGCCAUUGAGGAAUUAAGAACAAAAAUUUCAAUCUAUAAAAUCAUGGUUUAAUCUUGUGAAACGAGACAUAUUUGUGAGGGACGAUGUUAUUUGGAGUUUGAUAUGUCAUUUUUAGACCGAAAAUCAUAUCAAAAUGGUAUCGGAGGCUUGUUCUUGUACUACACGUAAUCAAUUUGGCUGUCAAAAUGAUAUCUUAGGAAUGAUAUCUAUUUGAGAAGACAAAGAUUUGCCUCCCUAAUUUGAAAUCGAUUGUUUUUUAUGCGGAAUAGCGACGAUUCAACACGCAGGUUCUUCUCUUCUAUAGCCCUCGGAUCCUAACUCGAUGAGACUGCCUCUCAUGCUUCCUGGUGAUAGUGUGUCCGUCGAAGUAUGAGGGUUAGAAGAGGGACUUUAGCGCUAUUUAAAAAAGUUUUUAACUAAACUCUCUCAUCACGAGCCGAUCCAAGCCCAACUCGGCCCACAUAAGCUAGGUUCAUAUUCGACUAUUAAGAAACCUUAUACCCUACCUUAUUAGGCCAACCCCGUAAAACGGUAAAUCACAAUCACAAUUAAUGACAACCUUAGGAAAACUAUUGCAUUCUCUCACUUGGACUAUAUUAAUUGAGACUAUACUGCAUGUGCGCACCUUUAUAUUGAUCUAAAGACAAUUCUUAAUAGUCAAUCAUAGUCCAUAGAGUCUCAAACACUGAAUCAUAGCAAUAACUACAUGUACACACAUAGAAUCUUCCAUGAUUACAGUUGAUUUCAACUUUAUUGAUAUUGACCUCAAUAUGAUUGUGUGGUGAAUGGAUAAUACAUCAUGAAAAGUAAUAACUUAUGAGUCAUCCCCUUUGACGAUCACUAUUUUCUUACUUUAAGUGUCACAAAAAACCGAAUGUGCCACUAGAGAAUAUUUUUAUAGUUUUGAUGAACCCACAUAUGUUUUAUCUUUAUGAUUAACCUUUCUUUAUAUGUAACCAAGACAUAUGCUCAAAGUUGACAACCAAAUGCCAUCAGCCUUCACUCAAGACUUACACAAUACCUUGAGAUUUUCAUUACAUAUAAUCAACUUAACAUAAUGACACACAUUAAUGGACACUUUAUUGAAUAUGAAAGAGUCUAUACAUGUUAAAAUGUUACUGAAUAUAACAAAACAUAGAGGUAAGCUUUAUUAAAGCAAAAUCAAAACAACUCCCACUAAACAGCAUCAUCCAAUGAUGUUUCUUAGCCCAUAUUUAUGACAUAUUGCUCAAGUACACAAGAGUAAAGGUCUUUAGUUAGUGGGUCUGCAACCAUAUUAUCUGUAAAAAUAUGCUCUACUAUAACAUCAUCAUUCUCUAUAUUUUUUAUGGCAAAAAACUUGACUGCCAUGUGUUGACUUUUAUUGUUGUUGAUAAACAACACUGAAGAAUCAUUGUCUUGAUACAACUAUAUAGGUCUAUUCAUAAAAUCAAAUAUGGUCAACUCUUUAAUGAGGUUUCGAAGUCAAAUAUCCCAAAUAACGGUUGAAAAGCAUGGUACAAACUUCGUUUGCAUGGUAGAGGAUAAUAUAGAAUUAUGUUUUUCACUUUUUCAUAAUAUUGCACCUUCUGGUAAUAUAAAGAUAUAUUAUGUUGUCGACUUCUUAUCAUCCUAACAGCCAGCAAAGUUUGCAUCCGAAUACCCUAUUAGCUCCAGGUUAUGAACAUGUCUAUAAACUAGCAUAUAGUCGUUUAUCCUUUUAAGUACCUCAAAACCUUAUUGGCAGCAAUUCGGUGAUCAUGUCAUGAAUUUGAUUGAUAUUAACUCAAAAUUUUGUUGCAAAACCAAGAUAUGUUCUAAUACAAACUUAAGCAUACAUGAUACUUCCUAGUGCACUAGCAUAAGGUACAUCCUUCAUUUGGGUUUUCCCAAAAUCUAAAUGAGGACGAUGUAAUAGACUUACUUUAUUACCCUUAACAAUAGGAGUAAUUCCUAACUUACAAUGUUGCAUACUAAAUCUUUUCAAAAUACAAUCAACAUAUGCAAUCUGAGAUAAAUCUAACAUAUAGCGAGAAAAUCCCUAUAUAUCUCAAUGCCAAGGACAAAAAAUGCCUCAUCAAGGUCUUUCAAGUUAAUAUUCUUUGACAUCAUUUACUUUGUCUCAUGCAAUAAUCCAAUACCGCUGCUUGCAAGUAAGAUGUCCACAUAAAGUAUGAGAAAAAUAAAUUUCCUCCCAUUAACCUUGCAGUAUAUGCAUUCAUCUACUUUAUUCUCAACAAAACCAAAAGAAGUGAUAACAUUGUGAGACUUCAAGUUGAUUAAGGACAAGAAACAACAUUUAUAAAUGUCACUAGAUCGACCACGCAGUAGAUAUUGUAAUCAUACUCUCACAGAUAGACUAUAUAGUCUAGUGGUAUAAUCGAUUGUCUCUGCAUAAUAGAUCUCUUGAGUGGAGCUACAAUCACUCCAUCCUUUACCUAAAGGGCUUGACAAACUUCAUCAUGAAUUGUAUUAAUAACAAUAUCUUGAACCUCAAUAGAUUUAGUAUGUGGUGUAAGAGACUCCACAAUCGUAUGUAUAGGCAAAGAAAACGACACAAUGAUCUCUAUUUUUAAUAGUCCAAGAGAAGCUAUCCUCUACGAUUACAUCAAACUCUAUAAAAUUUUGUUGUCUAUGAUUCCAUAAUUUUUGCACCUCAUCAGAACCAUUAUAAAGAAUAUUUAUAUUUAUCUUAAUCUCGGCAUUAAACAAGACACAAUUUUAUACCAUCAACACUUUCAUCAUCCUUUUAGCAAUGCAGUUAGCUGGUAAAUCAUUUUCAAAUGUUCCUAAAUAGAACACUUCAUGGAUAAUGAACAUAUUUAAUUGCUCUUUUUCAUAUGCUUUCUAGUUCCAUAUCGUCAACAAUGAAAUUGCCAACUUAUUCUCAGUAAGAGCAAUAUGAACAUCUACCAACUUCAUCUUAAAUAGAAAAUCCUCUUUCACUACUUAAAGUUUGAUCCAGUAAGAACCUCAAUCACAAUGGAGUUUCCAUUUAAAAAGAAGAUGACUUAAUAACAAGCAAUUUAUACAAUUGGUAUCAUGUAAGUAUUGUGUAACUUGAAAAGCAUAUAAGUACACAUCCUGAAAGUUAUAUGCAUCAUUAUAUAAACACCUUUAGGUAGAAUACAUGAUAUGCAAUUGUAUACUCUCUACAUGACAGUGAUCAUGAGAAUUUAUUCUAACCUUUUGCAAAUUCACCACAUUUGAGUGUAUGAACUAUUAGAGUCAAUCACUCCUCAACCAUAUGUUAUACAUGCAUCCCUCCAUGAAUUAAUAAAUAAUCAUUUCCUUUGGGAGUAUAACUACAUAUUAUAAUAUGAGACAUCCCAUCAUAAUAUGAGACCAAUAUCUCUCAAAUCUAAUCAAGUGUGCCACUUUAGCAAUUAUAACCCAAUUUUUUUUUUUAACGGGAAGUUAUAACCCAAUUGAAUCAUUGAAACUUUUUUAUAUCAGUGAUAUAAACUUUAUGCUUCACAUUUACCUUAUACAUAUGAUUUUAGACUUGAUGACAGGGGGGCAAUUUGUCACUAAAAUCACAUGUCAUGUCAAUUAUAUAGCUCCAUUCAUUUAUACAUGUUGAACCUUAUACAUGUUAUUAAUGAAUCAAUGCUUUAUACAUUCUUUAUGUGAUGAUAUUCAUGUAAGCUUGCAAAGUAUUUCCAAAAUUAUAGAGAAAUACAUGAAAAAUACCCAAAAAAUACCCCCAAAAUCCAUGUAUUUAGGGUUCCACAUGCAUUUUCAUAUCCUUAAAAAUAUCAAACAUGUAAAAUAUAGUAUAGAGAAUUUAUAUAUGAGUAUGUUGGUGCAAACCAUAUGCCGAACGGAGGCUCUACACGCCCUCACAUGUUGCUGGAGUGUGCGGCACAUGAACUACAUGUGCUGGCGUGCUUGAACCAAUUCGGCUGCUAGUUCAAUCGGGUUCAAUCGGUCCAACCUGUAACACCCCGAACCCUUCGCAGGUUGUCACCAGCGCCAAUGUUACACCUUAUUACCUUUUUGUCUUUCGAAGAAGUGUCCUAAUUUGCGUACACAUUUUUUUUUCUUUUAAAACAAAACGGUCCUAGCGCAACUCAUUAGCAGAAGCAAUUUAAAACAUCACCGUCUCCCCCCUACCAACCAUGAUACAAAUACACACCACUAAUCACCAUAAUUUUAUAAACAAGCCACGACACUUUAUUUACAUAUAUUUCAAGAUGGGAUUCCCUUCGGGUCGGUACAACAAAAAGGAAAAGCUAGGACUCAGCCAUGUCCAGCCUAAAACCUCAAAAAGAACCCUCGACCCUCAACAUCAUACGUGCACAACCCCCAUCAAAAGUGUCGGCUAUCUAUAUCCAAAAAGAUCCAGCUCCUACUCAUCGUGCACGAGUCUCACACCCAACCCGGUGCAUCAGGCGAUGGCGGCGACAACAUCCCUCGCAUCGCUCCAUCCCGACGAACGUGCACAGAUAUGAACUCCUGAAUGACAGGGCCCCCAGCCAGGCCUAUGUCGUACAUCACUAGACAGCGUACUCGAAUAAAAGUCAAUCCGGGAACAAAGGGACAGUCUAUCUCAACACACUCGACCUCUACAUCGGAUGGUAGACCGUAAAACACCCCCCGCGUGACGGCAGGAAGCGGCAUACUGCUAAUCUGAAAUGUGGGUCCCCAAAGGGGUGAGUACAACCACUCAAUAGAUAGGGAAAUCCAAUAACAACUCAAUGCAUCAUGCAAUCAUACAUGCAUUGCAGGCGCUACUUACCUUGAAGCCAUGCGCAUACUAUCAUGCAUCAUCAUAUCAAUUCAUAACACAUUCAUGUGUAUCAUCAUCGUAUCAUACAUGUCAUCAUCAUCAUGGCAUCAUUACAUCAUACAUGUCAUCAUCAUCAUGACAUCAUCUCAUUACACAUGCCAUAUCAUAUGUCAUCAUCAUUAUCAUCAUCAUGCACAUCAUCAUGCAUAUCAUAUCAUGGGUGAUCAUCAUUAUUUCACAUCACAUGUCAUCAUCAUCAUCAUCAUGCAUAUCAUCAUGCAUAUCAUAUCAUGGGUGAUCAUUAUUUCACAUCACAUAUCAUCAUCAUCAUCAUCAUCAUCAUCAUCAUGCAUAUCAUAUCAUGGGUGAUCAUCAUUAUUUCACAUCACAUAUCAUCAUCAUCAUCAUGCAUAUCAUCAUGCAUAUCAUAUCAUGCAUAUCAUGUCAUGAUUUAAUUUCCACUUUUGGAUUUCAAUCUUGAUCACCACAUCACCCAUUUCUCAAUUCAUCAAUUUUAUCAUCCCCUCGGGCAAAGACCUCCGAGGCUUCCGGCAUUCAGCCUCCCAGGCCACCGGGCAUCCGACCCCCCACAUUCCAGUCAUCUCGCAUCUCAACUAGCAUCACGAGGCAUUCCCUUCGGGCAAAAACCUCCGACAGGGCUUCCGGCAUUUACACUCCCUGGCCGAGCAUCCCGCACCCCAAAUCCUGGCAUCGCGAGGCAUUCCUUUCGGGCAAAGACCUCCAACAAGGCUUCCGGCCCCCCACAUUCCGGGCAUCCUGAAUCUCCCAGGGAAUCUGGCAAUGCAUCUUUGUACACUCCGGCCUCAUCCUCCACCACAACCACUUACUCACUUAUCAUUAUCCACAUUUACCAUUAUUUUGAUCUCAAUUUAACAUGGCAUAUGGCGUGACAUCAAACAAGUCAUACUUGGCAUAGGAUUCACACAUGCAUCACAACUCAAUGUCAUACAUAUACCAAGACUUUAUCAUAUGCUACAAGAUAAACUUAAUGGAAUUUAUGGCCAAUAAAAUAAUCCAUUUUAUUUUAUUAUUUAUUUAUUUAUUUUUAAUAAAUAAAUAUUAAAUUCAAUAUCUAUAAAUUCCCAAAAUUAUAAAAUUCAAGCAAUCAUUAAAAAAACCAAUAGGAUGACAAUUUCAUGCAAAAUUCAUGGCCAAAUUGAAUUUCACACAAUUUCACAAUUUCUACAAUAUAGCACAUAAUAUUCGGAUAAUAACCAGAAUGCACAGUUCCGAAUAAAUUCGAUUAAAAUAUCCACACGGCCUCCAAAAAUUACAAAAUUUUACAGAAUGAUAGCUAAGACAUUUUCGUACAACUUUCAUGAAGAACUCCAAGCCAGAUUCUUUUUAUAUUAUUUUUUACAACCUCACGAAGCUUCUGGACCCAUUACCGCAUCGUCCAGUGCACAUAUCACCGAAAUAUUGAGAUUUCACCUACCAUUUCUCUUUCGUUUCCUCUGAAAUUUAGAUAUGUUAUACAUCAAGGUAUCCUAUACAAGUUUCAUGAGAGAUCUAGGUCAAAUAACCAGAGUAUAGUCAUCAUCUAUGUCCAUGAAGUCUCAGGUAUCUCGGAAUACAACACCAGAAUCAUCAUCUUCAAGAUCUAGUCGAUUUACUAGGCUAUACUUGUUCAUUUCACUUAAAAUUUGAGUAUGUUGUAGUUUAAGAUGUCUCCUACAACUUUCAUGAAGAAUCUGAAGUGAUAUUCUCAACAAAAACCAACAUGCAACCAUGAAUCCGGCAAGAGGUCAGUAAAAACUCUCCAGAUCUGAGGUCUCCGUAUAAUAAGACUUUAACCCCUCAAAUCUCCAUCAUUUUUCACGAAAUUUCAGUAUGUUGUAGUUCACGAUGUUAGCUACAACUCUCAUGAAGAAAUAAAAGCCAAAAUCUGACUCUAAACACACAUGCAAGCUCAAAAAAGUUACUGACUACACGGUCCGAGCAAGAACAGUCAUGCGGUUUAAGAACAAGCCAACCAUACCUCGGUUUUUCUCACUUAAACGCCCAAAAUCUAACAUGCAACCAACAUACAAGCAUGCAAGAGAAGCUAUAGGAUUCCCACUUGCCUCUAGGAUGGAUGGUCGACGGCGUACAGCGGUGUACACGGCGGACGGACGGCGGUUUCCCUCCUCUCUCUCGGCCGCUCCUCCUCUCUCUCGCACACCUCUCUCUCUCUCGUUGGGCGAGCAAAUGGCCGGCCACCCUUCUCUCUCUUCCCUUUUAUUUCCCCAAUUUCUCAUGAUUAGCAAUCAUGAGAUUGCCUAAAAACCAACCAAUGCAUGGCCUUCCCCUUUGCCACUUGUCACAUUGAAUUUUGAAUUGAAUUUGGGCUUCUUGGGCUUGGGCCUCUAUGGCCGGCGACUACUCCUCCCUUGGGCCUCUAUUGGGCCGGUCGACUUCCCCUCUUGGGCCCCUCAUCUUGGCCCAUUAAAGGCUUAGGCCAAAUGGGCUUAAGGCCCAUUCGAAAAUUAACCCCUUUUUCCCUUCUUUUUUUUUUUUUGAAUUUCUUCUAUAAAUAUUUUUCAAUUUCAAUUUUCAUCUUGGCCAAAGUCUUGGGGCAUUUUGGUUAUUGAAAUUUAAUUUAUAAAUCAUAUGGCCAAGCAUAAUUUAUUAAUCUAUCAAAUUUAAAUUCUCGCAAUCAUACACACAAAUCAUCUAAUUAAAAAGGCUAAUGGCUAAAGCAUAGGCCAUGGAAAUCUUAUCACAUAAUUAGAGACUUUAACACACCUUAUGGCUUGGCUUUGAAUUUUGGGAUGCCACACAACCGGCCAAUGAUCCAAUCGAGUCAGGUCACCCAGUCAACUCGGGUCAGGUCAAUUGCCAAACUGGGUCAAGUUAGCUCGGUAAAACCUAGUCGAGUCAACCCGGCUAGGUAAUGACGUCAGCUCUUGCGAUGUAGUGGUCAAGUCAGCGAGGUGACGUCAUUGAUGAGGUCACCUACUGCCUUAAGCGGUUAUGGGCCCAUGUGUGCAAGCACGUGAGCACUCGCUAAAGCUGCCGCCAUGCGUGCAGGUGCGUGACAAUGCAUUCGGCCUCUUAUGGAGGUGUGUAACCCACCAAAAUGCUCGUCUCGAUGAAAGGAGUUCAAAUAUGUGAUUUAAAUUCACUUUUACUAGUCUAAAAAUCACAAAAAACGAGCAAAAACGACCUAAAGCCAUGUGAAAUCUGAGAUUCUCAUGGGCAUCCCAUUUGGCCUUCGCUAGAGGUGUGCCACCCAUCAAAAUGCUUGGCUCAACAAGACAAAUCGGAAUAUGUGAUCGAAAUUAAGUUUCAUCGGACAAAAUUUUCAAAAUGGGCCAAAUUCCCUAUGUUCGAAUUCUAUGGUAUGCCAACUCUGAUACCAAAUAUUGGCCGUCGAAACAGCAUCUUAGGAUCAACAUAACUAGAAACUCGAACAUAUUGGAGCAGAAUAUGUAGAUUUACGUACCUAAUUUGGAAUCCAUCAUUCUUUAUUCGAAAUAGCAACAAUUUCGACGCUCAGGUUUUUCUCCUUUAUAACUCUCAAAUCCUGGCUCAAUGAGACUGCCCUUCAUGGCUUCCUUAUGUGAGGUGAUAGUGUGUUUGUCAGAGUAUGAGGGUUAGAGAAUGGACCUUAAUGCUAUUUAUAGAAUUUUCAGCUAGACCUUCUCAUCACAGGCUAGGCCCAAAUCGGCCUACACAAGCUAGGCCCAUAUUCAACUAUUAAGAAACCUUAUUCAUUACUUAUUAGAUUAAUCUUGUAAAAUGGUAAAUCAUAAUCUCAAUGGAUGCAACCCACAUCAAGAAAACUUAUACAUGAUAUACUGAAAUCCAUGCUAUCCGAUCACCAUAGAGGUUUAGUUUAAUGCUUCAUCGUUCUUGUAUUGUUGAAGGAUGCCUGACAUUUGUGUCUCUGGUUUUGUUUUUAUGCGAUUUCGUGGAAACUAAUCGUUUGUCAUCGAGUCAGCCAUGGAUGAACACCUCACCGGAGAUGCCGUUCCUUCAAUCGGAGAAGCCCAUGGUUCAAAGCCGUUCAAGUCAGCAUCUCUCUCUAUUUUAUUGUGCUUGUGUUUGUUUGUUUGCCGAGAUUGCUGGUGUUAGAGGUUUAGGUACAAUGAGAUGUUUAUUUUUGGUGUUUUAAUGGUCACUGGAAUGGCCAACUAGAAGUGAUGAAUGAUGAUCAGUCGUGUUGGCCAAUGAUGAUGUAGGACGAUGACCACCAGCUAGAUGGCAGUGGUGUCAAGUGUUUCUCGACGGCAGAGACGUAGCAAGAGUUCAGCCUCAUUGAAGGAGGAGCUAGAAGUUGAAGAUGAUGCUGGGUUGAAGGAGAUGGGCAGAAAAAGACAAAAUAGGAAAAAAAAAAGCGAAAAAGGAAAAAAAAAAAAAAAAGAAGCGAAACUAUAGAAAAAUAAAAGGGCUAAAGGGUAUUCUGUUGUGGGCAUGGCUCAUUUCAAAAUAUGGGCCCGAAAAAGAGUUAAAAAGAAAAAAUAGUUCAUAGGCUUUUAUAAUUCAUUACAAGCGAGCUUUUAGGGUUAAUGUUUUUAGCCCAACCCAUUCCAAUAGGGUUUAGGUUGAUUUAGUUGGGUCAGCUCUCUUGACCUGGUCCGAAUCCCUUUUAUAUUGAUAAAUUUUUAAAAAUUUAAAAAGGAAAAUAUUGUUAAAAAUUCAAAAAAUUGAUAAAAAAAAGUUUAAAAGCUUUAGGGAAUAAUAAAAAUUUCAAAAAAUGCGAAAAUCAAUUAAAAAAAAGGAAAUUUUAGAAAAUCAUUAAAAAUUAGAAAAUCCAAAAAUGAUAAUUUUUUUUAAAAGAAAAUAGAGGAUCCUUUGAAACUAAAACCUAGAAUUGGAUAACCUUUUAGGGCUUUACAAUAGGGAUUCUUGUUUUUCUUUGUCUUGUUUUCUUUUUUAGGGACAAUUUAGGAUGCUUGCAUAUUCUCUAUAAUGAUUAUAAUUGAUUGUGAUUUUCAAUAUUUGGAUGUAAUUUCCUUGUUUUAGAAUGGUUAGGACAAAUAUUUGAAUUUUCUUGAUAGGCUGUUAUGGCAUUAGUUAGCACAUGAUUAGAUUAAACACCGAAAGGGCAUUAGCCUUUGGGCUAACGUAAUCAAGUUCCUGAGUCCAAAAUCUCUAGUUGCGUAAAUUAUAAGAUAUCAUUUUGUAUCCUACUGGGUUUUUAGCCAAGCCCAAAAAAGCUAGUGGCAACUCUUUAGUCAAAAUUUGCAUAAAUUUAAUUAAUUAAAAAUUUGAACGCUCCAUGUCACGUAACGUAUGGGCUUGGGAGAGCUUGAGUCAAUAGAAGGCCACCAACUCGAAGUUGACAUACGCCUAAACCUAACAAACUCAUUCUCCCGUGAGGGGGGUUAGGUUGGGACAAUUUCCCUUUUAGACAUUGUUUUUAAGGUAAGUACACUAGAAGUGCAAUAAGUUGUGUACGGUGCUUAUUUUGGUGCCAAAAGUUUAUUUUUGACCACUUAAGUGCCAAAAAAUUUGAAAAACUAUCAUUUCAGUAUCAAUGUCGAUCUGGUUGGCCGAAUCCGACGUAACAGUUUUUUUUAUUAAUUUUUGAAGCCAAUGUGAAUCGCUGGAGAGUACAAUUAGCAUACAAACAACAAAACAACGCCGUUUAGCAUCUUUUCCCCUAAGUAGGAAUCCUAAAUCCCCAAGUUAAAAGAAAACUGGAAGUUCAAAACCCUAAAUCCCCAAUUUCAAUGCAUAUUUCAAUUUUCUUCCAAAAUUAUCAGCUCACUCUUGCAAAUGGAGGGUAGAAACUUUAGCAGCGGCUCACAUUCUUGCGAAAAAAACGAAUUAGAUGGUGGGUGUUAUCGUUAUUGUGGGUCACCAAGUCCGAGAAGAACAUCUUGGAUCCGGUUGAAUCUCAAGAGAAGAUUCCAUGGGUGCAGCAGAUAUAGAGAAUACUCGAAAUGCAAAUAUUUCAAAUGGAUUGGUAGAAAAUUCUCUGAUUAAGCAACAAAUAUAAUCUUAAAGUUACUUGAAGGUCGACAUCAACAUCCACCUACAUUAAUGGAUGAGUUGGAAGAUGUUGACUAAAUGCAAGCUCAAAUGAAAACUUUAACAUUUCUGGUUGACCAUUUGAAGAGGGAGGUUUCAAGGCUGAAAAUUGAAAGAAACUUUUAUCAAACAUUGAUUAUGUUGUUAUUCUCUUGUGUAGUCUAUUCAAAUGUGAAGUGAGUAAUGAGAAGAAAUUUGUAUGUCUACCAUAGUCAAAGACGUGGAAUAUGCACUUGUAUUGAAUUAUUUAUAAGUAAAGUAUGUUUUUGGUUUGCUGCAAUUUUUGUAUGAAGUAGAAAGUUUUGUUGCAAUCUAUGAUAGAAAUGGAAGGUUGGAAUUGGAAUGCAUUAGUUGUGAGCACUUAAAAAUUUUCUUGCUUAGUUGUGUAUUGUCAAUGUUUGUUUUGGUUAGUUUUUGCUACUGAUAUAAUGGUUUGCUGCAACUAUUAUUACAAACCAUGGCGAAAUUAAGGGAUGGUGGAAAAUUCAUGAUUGACUAUUCCAGUUCCAUAAGUUGUAAAUACCAAUCACUUGAGCGUCAAGUUUUUAUAAAAGUGAUCAUUUAGUUACCGUUUGUUUUUACUCUAAAUAAUGUUUGAUUAUGUUCUUUUGUUCCCCGAAACAAAAAAAGAACAGAAUUCCAUUUGAUAAAAUUUUUAUUCCCGAAAAUAGAUUUGGAACAUAAUUAGGAAAUAGAAAAAAGUAUAUUCUUAUUCCUAGGAACAAUUCUUAGAAUCAAUUCCUAUUUUUUUAUUUUCUUCUUUUUUUUUCUCUUCUUCUCUUCCUCUUUCUUCUUCUUCCCUUUGGCUAGUUGCUAGCCUCAACUAUGGCUAGCAAUCGGCCAAACACGAGCUGGCAAUCUCGCUGGAACGUCGCCAACCCAUGGCGACACCGAGCCACGACGAGGCUUGUCGACCCGAGCCUCCCCAUGGCUGUGUAAGAUCCGGCGAGGCUGAGCUUGCCCAGCCCAGCCAAGGUAAAGUCGAGCCUCACACAACCAUGGCGAGGCUCGGCCUCGCCUAGAUCUAGCGAGUCUCCGACGAGCUCACCGAACCUCGCCCAGUAGGUUGCUGGCCACCGCCGUAGCCGAUGACUGGCUACAAAGAAGAAAGAGGAAGAAGAGAAAAAGAAAAAGAGAAAAAAGAAAAUAUAUAUAAUAAAAGUAUUAAAAAAAAUUAAAAGAUACAAAAUUUUAAGAAUUUUACCAAACGCAUUUCUAUCUGAGAAUAGAAAUUUUGGACAGUUACAAAGCUCAUUCUUUUGCUUAGAAAUUGUUCCCGAGAAUUGAAUUAGAAAAAAUCAUUUCUGAUCAAAAAUUGUUCAUCGAAACAGAAUGGUUACCAAACUUGCCCUUAAGUGCUAGUCGCAAUUACAAAAUGAUCACUUGUAUUGUAUAAGUUUUUUUUUUAUUAAAAAAAACAUGUUAAUUCCAAACGUCACUUGACUUGCACCAAUCGUGGUGCAUCAUGUUGCACCAGUUAGGUUGUUGGUGCAUCUUGUUCUUGCACCAACUCAUACAAGUGUUAAUGCAACAAGAUACAUUAGCACCCAAAAUUGCUCAUGUAAGAAGAUGCAGCACCCACUACUACACCAAGGUGAGCUGGUGCAUUUUGUUCUUGCACCAGCACAUACCACCAGAACUCACAAAUUCAUUAGCAUCCAUAACUUCAACCAAUAACAAUAUAUGCACACAUCACUUCUAAAAACAAUAUCAACCUCAUAAAAACAUCACACCAACAACAAAAAAUUAUACAACAUAAUUGUCUUGCCAGCAUUACUAACCGAAACCAACACAAGAGAAAAUAACAAAAAUAGCUUUUACCAUUGACAUUGAUUGAUUCUUUACAAAAGAAAAAAAAAUUUCUAACUUCACUCCCCAAUCACUGAAGGUUCAGGACCCUCUUUAAAAAAAUGGCAAUAUGCACCAUCCUUAAAAAACAAUGACAGCAACUACCAUUAAUAAAUAUACAAUAUCCAACACCCUCCUAAAAAAAGAAAACAUAAAAAGAGACCAUGUCCAGCACCACAUAAAAGAGAUCAUGUCCAUCACCCUCCCAUUAGUCAAUAUGCACAACACCCCCACCUUCUUUUCCUUUUGAAGUUUUGAAUUGAUUCAUAAUUCGAGCACUCUUUCGAACUGGAUGUGUAGGUUCUUUAACUGGCCUUUCUAUCACCUCAUUUUCUUUGUUCUUGACAACGCAUAUUUUUGUUUUAGCACGUAUCGUGUGUUGGUCCAUAUGAUCACUAUUGCUCUCAUGAUCAGUUAGUUGAGAUGAAACUUGUGCUGUAUUCUUUUUGGAUAGUUGUUUUGGAGCUAUACCUGCUGUCUUCUUCUUUGGAGCACUUUUCUUUGGUUGCACUUUGAUUCUUGAGUUGGCCCACCUUGAGAAAUAAAUACCUUCGAAGUUCUCCCAAGCUACAAGAACAUAGCUAUAUUGUCAACCAAAUAAAUUGAAGUACAAAAAAUUAAAUGCAUGAGACUUACAAAUCUUAUAUUCAAAAUAGUCAUUAUAGUAAGUUCAUUUGUGUAAAUCCUAUAACCAUAUUGUCUUAAUCUUUUUCCAAGAGCCCCUCUUGUUCGUUGUGGUGCAUCAUUUUCAACAGUAACAAAUGAGGGAGCAACCUGUGCAACUUGUGUAGUUGCUCAUCUUCUCACCUGAGAAACACAUAACAAAUUUAAAUUUUUGCCCAUAAAAAACAAACGCAACAAUGUACAACUUACAGGAUAUUUUUUCUCGUUUGCUCAAUAAUGGAUUCAGUUGUUGUUGUUGAUGUCCUGCCUGUUCCAAUCCCUAUCCCUGCACUUGGGCCUACAAGAGGGCCUUUCUUUGGCCCUUUAAUAGGCUUUACAACAAUAAACUAUAUCAGGAUUAUGACCAACUAAAAUAAAUAAUUAGACAUCUACUCACUUUCAUGAUGAAAAUAAAUGAAGAAAACUUCUCAAAUUAAUUAUAAGUGCAUGACAGAGGAAAAUGACAAGAGAAGCCAAUACACAUGAUCAACUAUCAAACUUUAUCGAAUAUGAACUAAAAAUUUACUGAGGCAAAGAGGAUAUUUACCUUACAGUAGGACUUUCUAUCUGCCCUUUGGUAGGCAUUACAAUAGGGCCUUCUAUCCUCCUUUCAGUAGGCUCAAUAAGAAGCUCUUCAGUAGGUCAUGUUCCUGGCACUAAAUCAGCCAUUAGAUCUUACUAUUGAUGUUGAUUUUUUAGCUUACAACCUUUCUUGUUAUGCCCUUCCUAGUGGCAAUAGAAACAUUUCAUCUUUACCCCAGUCCUACUCAUUCUCUUACUUGAUGCAUCUUCCUACAGCAUUCUUCAUCUCCUUUUUGGCUUUCCUAUUUGAUUCUUCAGUGGCAAAGAUAGAAGGCUUUUAUGAUUUGUUGGCUCCCGAAAUUUGCUACUUCUGAUAGGCUACAUCAUAAAUUGGUACGAAGCAAGGUAUGAGCUUUUUUGUACGAAUCAUCUAGGUAAUCAUAUGGGUUUUCUUGCUUCAUCUGAAUAACACAAAUGGCAUGAGCACAGGGAAUUCUAUUUAGUUGCCAAGCUUGGCAUGAACACUUUCUUUUAUCUAGUUUGACAACAUGUUUAUCAUGAUUUUAAAUGAGGGAAAAGUGUUAAAAAAAAGUUUUAAACCUUUUUUUGUGCUAAUUUAGUCAUAAACAUUUUUACUUAGUGCUAAUUCAGUCAUUUCCGGCCAAUUUUGGCCAGAUUUUGCUGACUGGUCGGCUGACGUGAUUUGAUUGUGCUGACGUGAACAAUUUUGAAUAAUAUUUUAAUAUUUAUGAAUUUUUUUCUUUUUUCCCUCCCCUCCUUUGACUGGCGAGGUCGACCUCGCUAAACCUCGCCAGCCACAUCGCUAGUGGCCGUGAGGGCGGCCUCGUGCUGGGUGGUGAGGCUUGCCCUCACUGGCCACCUCGCCAGUGGCCGCGAGGGCCCAGCGAGGCUCGACCUCACCAGUGGCGCCCAGGCCGCGAGGGUGACCUAGCACUAGGCUGGCGAGGCUCGAACUUGCCGAAUUGCGGCCUAGGCGGCACCGAAAAGGCUCAACCUCGCCGAAUUGCAACCUAGGCGGCACUAGCGAGGCUCACCCUCGCCGACCAUGGGCAAUGAUCAACCCUCACUAGAUCCAGCAAGGACGAGCCUUGCCGCCCAGCACGAGGCUACCCUCGCGGCCAUUAGUGAGGUGGCCGGUGAGGCUGCCCUCGUAGCCACUAGCGAGGUGGCUGGCAAGAUCCAGCAAGGUUAGCCUUGCCGGCUGAAGGAAGGGAGGGAAAAAAAUCAAAAUUAAAAAUAAAAAAAUCAAAAAUAUUAAAAUAAUAUUAAAAGUUGUUUACGUUAGCACCGAUCAGGCCACGUCAGUUGGCCGGCGUCCAAUCAACAAAUUUUGGCCAAAAUUGUCCGAAAAAUACUAAAUCGACAUUAAGUAAAAAGAUUUAGGACUAAAUUGACACAAAAAAAGGUUUAAAACUAAAUUGGCACAAAUACAAAAUGUUUAGGACAUUUUUAACACUUUUCCCUUUUAAAUGAUCUCAUAUCCAUUAUCUCAAUUCCAAACUGGAUGGCAUAACCUACUAGUAGCAACGUUUGCAUCCAAUCUCUUCACAAUCCUAGAACCACAGUCUCUAGUCCACUUCGUAGCAUCAUCUCUUUGCCUAUGCAGUCUAGUCAUGACUAUAACUCGAAUAUCAUCAAACGUGUUGAUGAUUGGUUUGCACCUGACCUCUAAAAUUAUGUCAUUGAAAGUUUUACUAAGGUUGUUAUUAAUGAUAUCACAUUUAAACUAUUCGUUGAAGAAAGCCCAACACAAGUGCUUAGCUUAUAUUUGGAACAAUGCAUCAAAACCUUCAUUUGUCAACUGCAACAAUCCAUGUUUGGCUAAUCUGAAAUAAGCCAUGUUGGUACUCUACGUUAUCUACUAGAAUUACUUUUCCAACCUAUCUCCUUUGAAGUUCUUUGACCAGUUUGUGUAUAUGUACCUUGUGCACAUUUUAUGCUCAGCAUGUGGCAUCGACUUAGCUAAUAUAGGAAUAAGUCUUUACAAAAAUUCAACCAAUAAAUACAAGUUAGGAAAAAUAUGCAAGUGAUGAUAUUAAAGGAAUGAAUUAAUUGACAAUAGUAUUACCUUAUGUUGGUCGCUCAUGAAUGUCAUCCUCCCUUAUCGGUUAUCUCAAUGUCAUCCAUUAAUUUUUUUAUGAACCAAAACCAAGUAUCCUUGUUCUCCAUCUUCACUACCGCCCAAGCUAUCGGAAACAUUUGAUUAUUGGCAUCUCUCCCCACAAUUGCCAACAACUCCCUCUUGCAUAAACCAUCUAGAAAGUAUCCAUCCAAUCAUAUAACUCUUAUAUAAUCAGCUAAGAAGCCCCGUUUGCAUGCAUAAAAACAGACAUAAAAUCUAUCAAUUCUAGGCCCAGGAUCAGGGAGUGACCUCUCCACAACCUCUACAUAUACCCUACUAGAUGGGUUUUGAAGCAUGCAUUUGUCAGCAUAAUCCCAUACCUGCGCAUAUUCUUCCUUAUAUCAACCCAUCAAUAUUUUCAUCACUCUCAGCUUAGUUUUCUUGCAUUGAUUCCUUGACACAUUAACCCUUAAUUGCUCCCUCACUAACAACUGAAACUAAGGACUCUUGAUCUCGGGCAUUGCUUUGAUAGUAUUGAAAAAAUGCUUCGAUAACCACACACUUGUUACCAUUUUAUUAUUAAAUAUAAUUUGACGAGUAUGCUUCUCCCGGAAUGACCUAAUUUGAAAUGACCUCUUCUUACUCGGCGCGCCAUAGAACUUCCAUGAACAAUUGGGUUGUGAGUACUUAGCUCUGACAAAUUCCUUCGUAUUUCUAACGAAUUCAAUGCUCCUUUAUUCAACAAUGGAGUUCUUGACAAUAGCUUACUUUAAUUGUUUAGCAUCAUCAAAUAUCAUGCCCACAGACUAAAUAAGUGUAUCAACAGUCGAAUUAUAGUAAAGGUACUUACUUUUUCUUCUAUGAGCAGAUUCUUCAUCAUCAUUGUCAAGCUCAUUCUCUGAACUAGCAAUUUCAUUGCCGUAGCUUUCUUCAUUUUCACUUCUAUUACCUUCAACUUGAGCUACAUCCCUAUUUACUAGCUCGGGCCUCUUUCCUACAGCUGCAAAAAAAAAAAAAAAUCUGAGAAAUUUCUUAUGCUUUUUUCUUGACUGUGCAAGUUCAUCAUAAUCUUCAUCACUUGAGAAACUUAUCGAAGCCAAAUAUUCAUCUUCCGAUUCACUGGAUAUAGCAACUUCCCAUUCUAAUCCAAUGAAGUCUUCAUCGCCCACAUCUUCACCCAAGAUUUCAAGAUAUCUCCUCGUUUGUUCAUCUCUAACAAUAUGACUUCUCUAUUUCUCAUUUUGCCCUUCAUCUAACCUAAACUCAUCCCCGACCUGAUUACUUGUGAUAUUCUGAAAAUUCAGUUAUGUUUUCAAUUGAAUGAAUCGGGCAUUUCAUCGACGCGCCUGUAGUACUAUUCUCUGAGCUAAUCACUCAUAAGAUAACUAAACUAUUUGGAGAAGCCAUUAAGGGAUUUUAAUGCAAUAGACUUGAGAAUUCGACUAUGAAUCGACUACUCAACCAUGCUAAUCUACAAGGGCCAUUACGGCACAGUCGAAAAUCUAUUAGAGACCAGAGAUAGGUCGAUUUGACUGAGAUAUGUGACCAGAGUGUGAAUGAUUUCACCAUAUUACAAAAUUCUCGUUGAUCGGCACUAGACUGAUUUUUCUAUCAUUUUGGUACCAUGUGUCCGUAAUCGAAAUCUCGAGAUUUUCACGACCACCGAGAGUCAUCAAUGUGUCAAAGAGGUACAUUGUUGCUCGAAGAAAAUCAACCAUGGGUCAAUUGCACUAAAAAUUCCUAAAAGCUACCCGGUAGGUUAGGUCACGCUAAAAUCGCGUCAGACUGAAAUUAACCGCGAAAUUGAACCUGAUUUCAAAAAUUGAAGGUUUUGUCAUGUCAUGAUUUAUUUUAGGGACGUCGACUCAUCCUUUGAUGAAUUUUUGGAGAGUACAGGAUUUAUGGAAAAUCAAUACAGACGUUUCGAAAAAGAACGGAAAUUCAGACGGGCCGAAUUGAAGGGAUUUUUGGCUUCCAAACCGAGCUAUUUGGUGAUGGAGACUUGUAGAAUUUGUGUGGGCUUUUUCUUCUAGAAAAUUGGCCAUCAAAUUGAGGAAUUGGGUGAAGAAAUUGAAGAUCAAAAUUGAUGAAAUUCGGAGCUUAAUGGGGGUGCAACUUUUGGGCAUCAAAAUUUGUUAUUUGUGGGUUAAUCUUCAAGAAAGUAAUUGUGGGGACAUAAAGGAUAAGCUUGGAGACUUUUGAGGUCAAAGAAUGAUAAAAAUGAGAUAUUUUUUCCUUGACUUUUGGCCCCCUCAUCCUCAGCUUCUCCAGCACGCUUCAACCAGUUCCCUCCUCCUUCGUGGCUUAUACUUAUCCAUUUUUUUAUUUGCUCCUUCGGCCGCUGUUUUCCCUUCAUUUCGUUCCAGCGAAUUCUUCCCCACAUCUUCCCUCUCACUGCCAACACAUACACACGCCUGCAUCUCCCUCCACUCCGUCAACCGCUACCCCCUCCACCAUCGUUUGUUCCCCCACGAGUCAACUUCCCCAAUAGAUUUCAUUUGUUGACUCCCCUCACGCCAGCGAAGCCGCGGUCUGCCCAUCUUCUCCACCGAAGACUCACGCUGCAGCUUUCGACAGCCCACCAUAUUUUGUUCCCUUAACCGAAGCAGUCCCUCAACCAUUUCUCUCUCUCUGCUGUUGCCAGCAUCCACGAUUCAACCCCCCACUCAGUCAACACUCCCUCGAAACCUCUUCUUGUUAACUCCAGCAGCCCUGUCCGAAGCAACUUCAUUUCAUUUGGCCGCCGAGUAAGCAAACCACUAACUUUCCUACGGCUGCGACAAUGUUGAAGUCCACCGAAGCUGCUGGCUGCUUCUGCCUUUGACUCUGCCGCACAACCCUCAAGCGUCCAUCACCCUUACAUGAAGCCGAGCCCAAUAGUUCGCAAAUUCCAGCCAACUUUGUAGCUGAUUUCGACCUUGGUUUGGCUCUCAUUGGUGUCACCGUUUUGGAGUUUCUCGGUCAUCGUUGCACCAUCGUCGCCGUGGACUCACCAACCUGCAAAUCCGGUGAGUUUACUCACUAAACUCUGCUUAUGGAGUUAAUUAUGCUUAGGGGGUGUUUAGAUUAUGCUAAGUAUAUUUAGGUGGUUAGAUUAGUUUAAUUAAAUAUUGAUUAGAUUAUGUGCAUGAUUAGAUUAGUGGAUGGAUUAAUUAGUCUAAUUAUGUGAUUAGAUUAGUGUAAUCACGAUUAGACUUUUAAUUAAUUAUUUUUAUUUAUUUAUUUAAAUCAAAUAUUAUUUGAUUAUAUUAUUUUAGCUUUAAUUUAAUUUAAUUUUCGAAAUUUAUUAAAUUAUUAAUUAAUUAAUAUUUUCAGAAAUUAUACCGAGAGAGCCAUUUGUUAGAAUUUCACAUUGAUCACAGUAGUAUGGUUAGUUUGUUCAAUUGAUUGUUAUGUUUGUGAAAUUGAGUGAUAAUUGUGAUAUAUAGGUACUUUAAUAAGAAAAUACCGGGUGUCGGGUAUGGACACUAAAAAUGGUUUUAAGUACCAUUUCAACUUAGGUGAGCAAUAUAGAUUUAUAAUAGUUUCGGGGAGUAUUAACACCAAUAUAGAUCUAUAGCAGCUUUAGUGAGCAAUAAUACAUUAGCAGCUUCGGUGAGCACUAUAAAUAUCAGCUUCGGCGAGUAUUACAGUUAUUUAGUAGCUUUGGUGAGUGAUAAUUGAUAUAGCAACUUCGGUGAGUAAUAUAGACAUCAGCUUUGGUGAGCAAUGAUAUAUGAAUAUAUAUAUAUAUAUAUAUAUAUAUAUAUAUAUAUAUAUUAGCUUCGGUGAGCUAGACCAUCAAAUUCAGCUUAGGUGAGCAGUGUUCGAAUCAAUAGAGUUUAUGGAUGGUAUCGAUGGUAUGAAGUCAAAUGAGUCGACUAAUUGAUGGUUGAAUUGGAUUGAAAUGAUUGGAUGAUUAUAUGAAUUGUACUGACUUGUAGGAAGACCCGAAGCAAAGGUAAGUCCUCUGACUUGUGCUUGUACUUAGGUAGCCCUUGGCUUGUAUUUGCUUCCUAAUCGGAGUUUAGGAGGUGAACUUGUUGAGAUAUUGUCUCACCCCGUCGUGGGCUCAACAUUUUCAGGUCCUUAGAUGGUGGUCAUGGAAGACGCAAAGCCCCGGAGUCUGGGGAGGUGGAGACUGAAGGAUCGGCCAACGUGUCUGACUAACUGGUCAUAGGACAGCUCCCUUUUUUUUGAGCCGGUCUUUUGUAGACGGCCUUGUAUUGUAUAUAAACUUGUGUGUUUAUAAAAAGGCUUGUUUUGAUUAUGAAUUGUUGCCUGCUUUUCUAUCCCAAGCUUUUUGUUGUCAGGGGAUAUUUGUUUGCUUCCGCAUGCGUAAUAAAAUGAAUGGGUCGGCGACGCAUCCUGAGACGUCGCAUAUUUAUCGACCACCGAAGGAUGGGCACGCACUUAAGGGUCGGGGCAUGACAUUACUCGCUUGAGUAGAAUCCCUCACUUCUCCUCUUUCGAUGGCGGUCUGCUCAUCCCUAUCCUCAUCCUCAUCAUCACUAUAAUACCUAACAUAUACCCUAACUUCGUCGCUGUGAUGAUAAUGGUAAAUGAUAUCCUUAAUACCAUUAUCGUCAUUAAAAAAUCUUAAGCCAUCCUUCAAUUCCUUCCUAGGAACACAAUAAUGUAUUUUUUGCACUUUGCAUUGUAAAAAAUACACCAAAUCUCUCAAAAAAUCAAUAUAUGAUAGCUUCCGAACAUUGACAUAUAUAAUACCUUCAUUUCCACCAGUAUAUUCCCAGUCCUCGGUGUCAAUAACAAACUCUUCACCAUAGCAAACAAUGACGGCUACCUGAUUCUCAUCCAUGUCAGUUCUGCAUCCAAGGAAGAAAAAAAAAUCAUUAGUUUUUAGGACCACAUGACAAAAUUAGUAACUUCACAUGCAGGUCCUUAUCGUUUUGUCGAAAGAAACAAAGGCAAUCGAUUUAUUCAAUUCGAUCCCUUUACAAUAACAAAGGAAGCCGAAUUGAAUAAACAAAGUGAGGUCUCCAUCACCCAUUUUUCAAUUCAAUCACAUUCGGUCCCCCAUAGAAGCAAUUCACCUAAUUAAAUAACGCAAGAUCCCACCACUAUUUCCCUCCGAGUUGAGCCCCCAUUUUCCCCUCCACACCCUAUUUUUCUAUUCAAUCCCCAUAAAAGAAAGCAAAUGACAAAACCCUAAAUUUUUCUAUUCGGUCCCUACAAAAGUGAGAUCCCCACCACUUUCUCCUUGAGUCGAGUCCUCAAUUUGCUCUCCAUGCUCUAACUUGCCUAUCGAAACCCUAAAAUUUUCACUCAAUUGACCCAUGUAAAGAACAUGACAAACCUGAGUGAGUGAGAGCUAGGGACACAGCUAGCGAACAACAAUGAACGAUAGCGUAACUACGGCGGUGGCCGAGUGACAGCGAGUGAGCAACGGGCCACCGCCAGUGAGUGAGCAACGGUGGGCGAGCGAACGACGGUGGGUGAGCAAGCUACAGCCAACGUCAAGCGGGAAUUGUAGUUCGUAUGCCGCCUAUACGAACCAUAUUUUACUCCCUCUUCAGCGAUGCCGUUUUGGCUAUAUAGCAAUGUGGCGUCGUUUUGUAAGUGAGUCCAUGUGGAAUGGCAUAAAACGACGUCAUUUCUUAUGAAGAAUGGAAAACAGAGGCGUUUAUGCCAUUCCACGUGGCCAGUCUUCUUCAUUUUUUGCCACGUCGAUUUUUUUUUUAAUAUAAAAGCUACAUAAUCAUUUUGGCUGGAAUCUAUCGCUGAUGGUACCAAAGUGAUCGUUUUUCCUCUGAUUUGACACUUAAGUGAUCCGUCGGAAACUUUUGGCACCAAAAUUAGCGUCGUACACAACUUUUGCACUUCUGGUGUAGUUACCCUGAUUGUUUUUCGCACAUAACUAUCGCCAUACACUUCUUCAUUCCUUUACUUCCAUGCUUUGCUAUGAUCUAGUCUAUUAUUUAAACCAAAGUGGUUCACUUGGGUCAAGAAAUUUGCCGUAAAAAAAAAUAGUUCGAAUCUGUUGAUACCAAAAGUUGAUUUGGUUAUUGAUACGUUUGUGCUUAGCACAAGAAUGAGAAAUAUGUGGCAUGAGCAGGGAUAAGUAGCAGUCACGUGCAUAAUGCAUGAGCGUUACCUUAUACAAUCAUCAACGAAUAUAGGAGCUAAGACAUGGCGAUCAAUGACUAUAAUCUUUAAUACCAUGUGUCCAGUUAUUGAAAUAUGAUAACGAACUAUUGGUGGUCGACUAUAUGAGCACUAGCAGCAAGUUUUCAUUGGAAGUAUUUCAAAUACUAUUCAAAUCACCAAGACCGUGGGCAUCGAGAAUGCACAUUGUGGAGGGAGCAAUUGCAAUUCAUAGACCCCAUCAUGGAACGAUCAUCAAUAACUACAAACCCAUCAACACACAAUGAGGACUAUUAUACAAAAGGUGGGCAAGUGAAGCUUGCGGGAAUGAAGGAGUAUGGGCGAGAGCAAUGGAAGUUACUUGGAGAAACACAAUCGCUAAUCAUAGUCAAGGAGCAAUUACUACACAUUUGCUAUAAAUACCACCAGCUAUCCAACAAGAAACCCUCUGCACGAAUCACACAAAAUGUUAUCUUCCAAUUAUCUAUACUUUCCUACACUGUAGUUUAAAUUUCCUUAGCUAUAGCUUAAUAUUCGCAUCGUCAAUUAGAUUCCGGUAUUUUUAUUUCGAUACUCAUUGUUGAUUGAAUUCUAGCAUUGUAUUGCAAUAUCCUCGAUUUAUGUCGUCAAUUGGAUUCUGGCAUAAUUCGAGAUUGAUCUUGUAACUUUUGUGCCUUGUCAUUGAUUAAAUUCCGACUCUAUAUGGGAUUGUAUAAUGUUGUUUGGAUUAAAAAAGUUCGAUUCCUCUUUGUAUAAGAUAUCUUGUGACCAGAGUUGGCUCAAAACCCUUGUCCCCUUUAAUAAAAAUCAAAGAAUGAUUUUCAAUGAAAAAUAGUUCAUCACAUUGUUCUAUUUUAUCAUUUUCGUGUAGGCUCAUGCGAAUCAAGUUUGAUUCAGGUGUCACCAUGAAAAAUGCUUGUCAUGACACAUUCUACACAUAUGAUUUUUCUUGAGAUUUUUACAUAUCAUUAGAUCAUAAAAAAUUAAUCACGUUCUGUGAUAAUCAUGUUGAAUUAGGGACUUAUCACAAGCCCAUUAAAACUCAUUUGUUUGGGCACCUUAAGGGCCAAAACAUGCCUCAUUGUCUUCUCGAUAUUUGAAGCAUGUGUUACAAGUUUUGUAUCAACUUGUGGCAUGUCAUGUUUGAAUCUCGUUUGAUAUGUGAAAACCAUGUAUCGAUUUAGCAAAUUGUAAUUGAAGUUUGCCAUGCAUAUCAUCCUUAGUUCAAAGUCACUUUGCAAUGUUAAUGACUUGUGUGACUUAUUUGCACUCCGACUUAGGGGUAAAUUUUCUACCCAAACCUUUCUCUCAUUCAACCUUAUGUCAUGUGUGAGUUUCACACUUUUUAUGCAUUGUGUAGGUGAUCUUAUAGACUAUUAAGCAUGCAUCAUGUUCUGAUUUGUGCAUGGCUGAUUUGCAUGUCUUCAUGAAUUUCUUUUUUUCGACUAUCAAUUUGACCUCAAUUGGACUCGAACCCUCUUAGGAAUUCUGAGGACUCGCCUUGAUAUUUUGAAUGCCGCUGAUUUUGUGUGAUUUGCCUAUCAUUUGGCCCAUUUUUCGUUUUUGUCAAGUUAGGCUAAAAAUCUGACUUAGGUGAAAUUCGGAACCUCUGUUUUACCCUUGUUGAGUCUGACUCUUUGUUAUUUUGUGUGAUUUUCUCGUUUAAGAUUUUUAGGUCAGACCCUUAACGAACUUUGUUCGUCACUCUUUUGUUUAUGUUGUAGUAAAGUUUCAUGUUUGUUAGACCUCGUUUAAUAGAUUGAAUAUCCAUUGAUAUGGCGUGAUGCUCUGUUGUCUUAUUGAUUUUCUGAUGUUAUGUGUUGUUGAAUUUUUAAAAAUUCUUACAUAACCUUUUAGAAAACUUUCUUCACAGAGUUUGUUCCCCGUGAUGUUAUGGAUAUCGUGUAAUUUUCUUAGAACAAAUUGUAAACGGGUUCCUUUUCAAUUGUGUUGAUUUUAUUUACCCUGUUAUGUGGUGUUUUGUUACAAUUCUUUGCUGUGUUUUCAUUCUAGAAUUUUCUAGGUUAACUUGCAUGUUGAGUUUGCUUCACAUUUAUUCACGAACUUUGUUCUUCACUUUUUGCACUUUAUACACAAAAACUCUCGACAAAUAAAAAGCACUUUAGUAUGUUUUUUCGACCUUUUUGAAUGUCAUGAACUUGUCUAAAUUUUCCUAUUUUUGUCAAUUUGAACCUAAUUUUAGUUGAAGUGAUAUUCAUGCACACUUUUUAUGUCAUCUUUGAAUUUCAAACUUUCAAACCAUGCUCUUGGUUUGGUAUUGAUGUUACCUAAAGUUUGGGACAUAUUUAAGGCAUCUGCGAAGUUGAUUAGAGUACACAGGAUGCACCCGAGUUAACCUUGACAAUUAAAUGUGUUCCAUAACUGUGAUACAUCUUUGCUAUACCGUUAGCAUACUUUCUCCCAAUUCACUAUCAAUUGUUCUUCAAAUAUUUUUUUAGCAUCGUUUGAACUCUUAUGACGUUGGACUUGUUUACCUUUCUUGAAUGCCCGUGAUUGUGAUUAGCGUGUGUCAACUAAAUAAGUGAUCAAGUGUUGGCUCACUAAAAUUGUCUGAUUGACUGAGGACCCAGGCUCAAGGUUUUGCUGCCAUGUUUAUUUCUCCCUAUGCAUGUGUUCUUUUAGAUGUAUGCAUAGGUACAAUGUAUGAUUCCAUUGGAUGACCUAGGGAUUCACUUAGAACAUGUUUUAGGGGUUUAUAAGCAUUGGUUGCCAUACGAGAACAAAAAUGGUGGCCAAUAGUUAUAAGCUAUUAAAAUGAAUUGGGAUAGGUGUCCAAAGGUAUCGACACAUGAAUUGCAAAGGCCAACCCCAAGGCCCAAUUUGUUCAUUUUGCACGUGGUUUCGAUUGUUUGAUUCUUCUUGAUUGUCUUAUGAAUGUUUUUGUCAUGAAUGAUUGUUUCUUUCCUAUUGUAUAUACCUAGUCAUAGUUUUAGGUUAGGAUUAGAAUAGGUCCUUGGAGAUGGAGAUACUUCAAGACUUGAAGACGAUGGAAGGUCGAUGUCCUAUCCAACCGAACUUUUUAUAUCAUUUGUCCCCGAUAUAUGUUUCGGGUUAUCUCGUGUUGUAUAAAUACCCGACGAAUUGCAAGUUUAUUUCUUCCAUUUAUUUUUGUUCAUUGCUUAGGUUGUAUGCUAGAUUUACUGCAUUCCCUAAAUUGCUUACUUGAUUGUUUACUUACUGCAUUAUCUUUAAAUUUCAAUUGUUUGCCUUCUUUUCUCUUUCAUAGAAAUAGAAUCGCAUAAAAGCAAUCAUCCACGCAUGAUCAUUUAGCUAGUGUAAUCAACCUGAAAAAGUAAAAAGAAAUGCAUAAACGCCUUAGGAAACAUGACAUACAAUUAAGUACCAAAAUUGUGCUAAUAGAAAUAUUAACAUAAGUCAAGUCUCUGAAUCUAUAAUCUCUAGUUGCAUAGAAAUCGAGGAACCAUUCCUAACCCUCGAUUAAGUUUUCUAGCCGACCCUAAAAAAGAAGACUAGUAGCGAAUCUUGUCUUUUUAGGUUGUUUUAAAUAACUAGAUAAUAAAUUAACUUGUUGUAAGAGGUAUAGGUCUUGCUAAGACCCACCAGAGUUUAGCAUACCCACCGUGGAAACCUCCUAAUGGAUGAAAUGAUGUCAUCCUUAAGAAAGAGAGUACUAUUGGGAGGAUUACUAUGGUAAAGGUACCUCUAAAUUCAAUAUCCACAUCCGAUCUCCUCUUUCAAGGUAUGUCGCCCGUGUGGGUACGAAUCAUGACACCUUAUGCUAUCACGCAAGAUAUGAGCUUGGGAGAGCUCACAACAAUGAACGAGGGAACUCAUAAGGGCUCGUCUCAAAAGACAAAGUGAUGACAUAUUUUGGAUUGCGAACUGUAAGAUAACUGUCAUGAACAAGUACUCCUAAACUUGACAUUUUCCCCUCCCCAUCAAGGGAGGGUCAAGAGAGGUUGGGUCGCAACACAGCCGUUCUUCUCUUCAUCUAAAGGACGUAACCUCAAACUAUAUCCAAAGAAAUCCAACUCCCAAAAGUCUCCAUCGAUAGCACUCCCUUACUAAGGGUUACUAAUCGAGGAACUUAAAAGGAUUAGGAAGAAAAGAGGUAAGCUACCACAGCUUAGUAAAUAGUACAUAGUUUCUAAGCAAAUUGAGCAACUACUGUGCAUGUAUACAAAGUGAUAUCGGAAACAUGUGAUCCAAAAUCAAGGUAUAAAAUACGUAUUAAAUCACAUGUGUAAUUUCAUUUUGACAAAUCUUUAAAUAAACCAAAAAUACUCAUUUAAAUCCACCAUCACAAUACAAAUAUCAAUUAUCAAGUUCAUUGAUCAAUCUCAAAUCACAUGUCGAUGGUUCAUUUCAUUAACCAAACUCAUAUCACAUCAAAUCUCGAGGCCUUAGAGGUGGCUUCCACAAGACCACGUUAUCAUGUAACAUUUAGCCCUUGAGUACUCAAGGCCUUAGAGGUGGCUCCCACGAGAUUCGCAUCAUUAUAUAGCACUUAUCCAUUGACCAACACUCAUCAAUAGUAAAAGGCUCUAGAGGUGGCUUCAUGAAAUUACGUUAUCAUGUAGCACUUAGUUCUUAACCAAGGUAUAUCGAUAGUAUAAGGCCUUAGAGGUUGUUCCCACAUAACUCAAGUCGCCAUGUAGUACUUAACUCUUGACUACAAGACCCUAGAGGUGGCUCACACAAAGUUAUGUUACUACGUAGCACUUAAAACCUUGACCAAUGUAUAUCAAUAGUACAAGACCCUAGAGGCCACUCCCAUGUGACUUGAGUCGCUCUUGACUAUAAGGCCCUAAAGGUGACUCCUACGAACCAACAUUAUCGUGUAGUACUUAAUUCUUUACCAGUUCAUAUCAAAUUGAUUACACAAACCAAAACAUAGUCUUUCACAAAUCAAUUAUUCCAUUAACCAAUCCAGAAUCCAUAUCAUAAAUCAGUUUCACAUAUCCAAUGAAGUCACCUUUCAUAAACCAUACUCAAAGUCGACGUAAUUAUUUCACAAACCCAAAAUAUAUCAUCUUUCCUAACUUUGUUGAUCAAACAAUAUAUAUAUUUCACAAAAUAUUUCUCACACCAUUUCGAAAUUCAUUUCAUAAAUUGAUAACAUUUUGAAAUGUCUUUCAUUAAACGAUUCCCAAAUCAUUUUAGAACCCAUUCUAUAAAUCAAUUAGUAACAUAAUAGAACCCAUUCUAUAAAUCAAUUAGUAACAUAAUACAAUAAAUAAACUUUCACAACACCUUCCAUAACAACUUUUUCAAACCAUUUUCAAAGAAUUGAAGAGCAAUAAAUGCCCAAUCCAUAUUUUAAUGCAGUGAAAAUGUUAUUUCUUAACUCAUAGAAUAUCAUUUUUGAACGUGAGGUCAAAUACUUAAAGAAAGGAUAACACUACUCACAUUGAACUGCCUAUGAUCAAACAACGAAGAUUACUUGAACCGUUAAACUCACAAUCUCAUCAAAUAAGCGAGAAACAACAUUAAAAUCAAAGAAAAUGCUAUCUUAACUAUAACUUGAAUAAACUAACGACUCAAAUGUACUCACAGAUCGCUCGUGCAAACCAAUUAAGCCAUUGGUCAUGCACUGUUCAUACGAGGCCAAUUUCAAAAUUUUGUUUUGAGUGAACUGUAAGUCUAAAUUGAUUUUUGUAAAAUCCUACAACUUUACAACAUCUUAAAUUAUCAUUUAUAUAUAUGCAGCUCAACGACUCCUUAGUCAAAACUCGAAACUCAAAAUUGACUUAACCUUAGAUAUGCACCAUAAUUUCGAAUAUUACUUUGAUUAGAUGAGCAAGGGCAUGAUCACUUACCAAGCGUUAUGAUAUGUAAUAAAAUUGACUAAGCGAGACACCCGUGGUAAGCACACGGAAAGCCCUCUCUUUUUUCCCAUCUCUUUCUUCUUUGUUUCUUUCCCUUUUCCUUUCUUUUCUCGGUCUUCUCCGUGUCUUACCCGAGGUCUGCCUUCUCUAUUUCUUUGACCAAGUCAAUUUUCUAUUUUUUUUUAUUGGGUCCACACGAGUUGACCAAGUUUUCCUUUCUUUUCUCGGUCUUCUCCGUGUCUUACCCGAGCUCCCCCUUCCCUCUUUAUAGACCAAGUCAACUCCCUUUUCUUUUUCUUUUUUUCUAACGGGGUCCCCACUUCACCACCGAUCUUUUUCCAUUUGUUUUUUUUCUUCCCCUUUUUCUAGUUCCCAAUUCCAAACUUUUGAAAUUAGUGAAAUCAGUCUGAUUCUCAAUUUUGAGUGAAGAACUGAUUGGGAAUCAAAUUGAACCAAAUUUGGAACCGGUUUCAUAGAGCCUAAAAAUUGAAUUUUUCUCUUAUUAUAUUUUUUUUAUAUUUCUCUCUUUUUUCUAUUUCCUCCAACCUCACCCAAACACUUCACGACUCUCUCUCUCUCGCCUACAACUCACACUCCUCCUCGCAACCCUCACUUGUUCCUAACUAGCAUUUGCUCACUCACCCUCAUUCAUAUUAUAUUUUGAAUCAUUUUCUUAUUCAUAUUAUUUUGGCUAUAAAAAAUGAAACUCAAUGAACAAAAAAAAAAGGUUCUUGGUAGACCUUGGAAUCAGACUAAAAAAUAGGACACGUUCUAGGGUCAAUUCUAGGACAAAUAGGGUAGGUUACAGGUUUCAAAAACUGAUAAUUAGUUCUACCAUAGCACGUUCUAAAUUCCAAGUUCUAGGUUUAGAAUAUAAUCACCCCUAAAAUUCGUUAUUGAUUGUACAUCAAAAUAUAAUAUAGUGUUAUAUAAUAAUUAUGGGCAAGAAAUGAGAAUUCGUUAAUAAAGUAAGUGCUAAAAUUACAUCAUCAGAUGCCUUUAUCAAAUAUCGCUUUGGUGCCGGGGGAUGUCAAUUGCAAUUUCGGGGAGGACAAAGUGUCCGCCAUCGAAUAGAGACGUCCAACUAGUAGCCAAUGACCAUUGUCGAAAAGCAGAAAUUUUAGCACUUUGAAAAAGACAACCACUGAAUAGAUAGUAUGUAUCACAAGACCACCAAUUUUCUCAAUGAUGUGAUAUCUCUAUGACUAAUCAAACAAUCCAAAUUGGAUUAGUCAAAUACGAAUAAUGUAACAAAAGGAGAUUCAUUUCAUGGGUCGGUGAUGUGCAAUUAAUGGAAUCACAAACUUUGAUGUAAACCUCAUGAAAUGAUUUACUAAAUUUGUAAAUUAGAUAAGACGUGAAACAAAAUGAUUAUAAUUAGCUCAAAUAUGGAAGAUUGGUUGCACAGUUUGUGAUGGCACAAUGAAAUCAAAAUUAAUUUGUGCACUUUAUUCACCCGCUAGCACACAUAUAAAUCAAACCUAGUUACUAAUCUACUCCCAUAGGUUAAGUGAGAGCACCUCAUCUCCAAUUCCACAACAUUUCAGAAGUUGGCUACGACAACGCUGCUCCAAUUUUCAUUGGAUAAUGACAAUGAAAAUUCUUACACUCGUGUCAGUCCGUCACAUUUACUUUUCAAAUUCUUUUUCUCGAUUUUUUAAAUAUUAAAAUCCGUCGUCAUCCUUCAAGUUAGUCAUUUCAUUAACUUCCCAACUUUUAGUUGAUGGAAAAGUCUAGGCUGGCAUUUUUUAUUAUUUAUUUCCUCUACAAGGGCAACAUUUUGUGUUCAUCCAUUUAUGUUUUAUAAAAUAUUUAUUAAAGAAAAUUGAAUUUUCUUUUUUGAGCUCGUAAGAUUUAAUGGAAAGGGGAACGGCAAUGUGCUGUGCCCUCUAUAGCCAACCUCCCUUGUUGGGGUUGAGGUAAGGGUGGUUGGCCCUCACUUGGCCAUAAGUGCAGGGUACGAUUCUCGCCACCACUAGGCAAGGGCUGCUGCGACCAUGAAGCAAGGGCCCUUGCCUGUGAAUCAAGAUAAACAUCAAGUGGUGCCUUUAUCAAAUAUGGUUCAUAUUAUUGUAACUCAAUGAACCAAAAAAAUGAAACUCAAUGAAACUAAAAAAAAAAAAAAGGUUCUUGGUAGACCUUGCAAUCAGACUAAAAGAUAUGACACGUUCUAAGGUUAGUUCUAGGACAAAUAGGGUAGGUUACAAGUUUCAAAAACUGAUAAUUAGUUUUACCAUAGCACGUUCUAAAUUUCAUGUUGUAGGUUUAGAAUAGGAUCACCCCUAAAAUUCGUUAUUGAUUGUACAUCAGAAUAUAAUAUAGUGCAAUACAAUAAUUAUGGGCAAGAAAUGAGAGUUCGUUCAUAAAGUAAGUGCUAAAAUUACAACAUCAGAUGCCUAAAAGAUUUAUUUACGAUUGAGAUUAGAUAGAUGCUCUUGAGGGUGUCCUUCAGAGAAAUGCAUAAGGACGGUGAUUUGAACCUAGGAGCAUGUACGGAUCGCUUGGUGAUUUGUUUUAUAUGCCAGUUCACUUUAUAAGUAAAGCCAACGACUUCUGGAAAAAAAUAUCUCAGUACAGGCCAAGCCUCAACCUGUUCCUUGAACACCAUGAGAAACUCGUCAUUUCUCCUUGCGCUUGUUCUCUCAAUCCUUCACUUGUCUUCUCAACCUUCCUCUGCCACUCGCACUACUUUGAGCAGAGGCGACUCUCUCUCCGUUGAUAACCCGGAUGACAUCCUCAUCUCAAAGUCUGGUGUCUUCUCCGCCGGUUUUUACCCCGUCGGCAAGAACGCUUACUGCUUUGCCAUCUGGUUCAGCGAUCCACCAUGCAGCGGCCAGAAUUGCACCGUAGUUUGGAUGGCAAACCGCAAUGAACCUGUCAACGGGAGGUACUCUAAGCUUUCUAUUAAAAAGAACGGUGAUCUCAUGCUAACUGAUGCCAGACACGCUGUUGUUUGGGCCAUAGAUACAGCCUCGCUCUCGUGGUCGAAAACACCGGUUCAUCAGUUACAACUCCUAGACUCUGGUAAUCUUGUUCUUCGUGACAGAGAAGGUAAUGUCCCACUCUGGCAAAGCUUCAACUGCCCGACCAACGUGCUCCUCCCUGGACAGAACCUCACCAGGAACACACCACUUGUUUCCUCUCAGAGCAACGGCAACUUCUCCUCUGGCUAUUACAAGUUAUACUUCGACAACGACAACAUCCUUCGUCUCCUCUUCGAUGGACCUUUGAUCUCAAGCGUAUACUGGCCAGCCCCGACCCAUGUGAGUUGGGAAGUUGGAAGAACAACCUACAACGAUAGUAGAGUUGCAGUGCUCGAUUCCCUGGGGAAUUUCACUUCAUCUGACAAUCUGAAGUUCCUGACGUUGGAUUUUGGCAAGAAAACACAACGUAUGUUAAAGGUGGAUCAUGAUGGUAAUGUAAGGGUCUAUAGUAGAGAAAAAGAUGGGAAGUGGGUUGUAACAUGGCAAGGCUUACCUGAGUCAUGUACUGUUCAUGGGAUUUGUGGACCGAAUAGCGUUUGCAGGUACAGCCCGAGGGAGGGAAGGAGUUGUUCUUGCCUUCCCGGAUAUGUGUGGAAUAAUGACACUGAUUGGACUCAGGGAUGUGCG
rnacentral:lncRNA from 1 species